rnacentral:lncRNA from 1 species
CACACCCCGGGGUGUCUUUUUAGUUGUAAGUCAGCGAAAAAAUGCCCAAACCUUUUUUUUUGAAAACUUUGACCUAAAAAGAUGACAGAGCCGCCACAAAUACAGGAAACUCACUGAUCUCACGGACAGAGCCUCUCCUAUAUUUGCACGGCGUCGCACGAGUACAAGUACAACCACAAUCAUUCACAACAUAGCGUAUAUUUACAUUUUCAUAAAAAAACCUUUUAAAAAUCGUUUCCCACUUGGAAACCUUUUCUAUAAAGUGCUACUACGAGAGGUAGAAAACCAUUUUCAUAAUUCAUAUGAUAAUAACAAAACAACAUUAUUUGACCUCACAAAACCAUAUAUAUCCAACAUGAAUAAAAGUCACUGAACCAUAAAGUAUCUAAGUCAUUUAUUUAUGGGAAGAGGGUAGGGUUAUAACGAAAUCAAUCCAAUGGAGUGUAAUGGACAUCAUCAACGAAUAACUCUGGGCACAUCUAGCUAAUAUUGUCCUCACGUACCGUCCCAACCCUCACCGCCCACAUCACAUGAAAAAUGGUGGAGGGUGAGAACAUAUAAACAUGUCUCCCCCUCCCAGUUGGUAUCGCAAACCGACGAAGGCGAAGAGUACUCACCGAUAUAAGAAGAGAUAACCAAAGUUAUGAGUAGAUAUCACAAAUGCAGUAGUAAUAAUACCGAAAGGAAAAAGAACAGUAAGAGAACAUAUAACUAACCGCCAAUGUAAACUAGAACAGAAUGCAAGUAUGCAUCAAUCGGAUGAUCAGCCCCAAGAAUACCCAAUCCAGAAACCGCCAUAUUGCUCUGAAGACUUCAGGCUAUCCCACUCCCGCUCCAGUAGGGAUGUGACCCGAGCAAAAGGACCGUUGGAGUCUCCCUGGCAUGUAACCUAGCAAGAGGGCCGCUGAGCUCACGGGUCGGAUGUAUGACCACUUUUUCAAAAAAAAAAACACCCUCCUGUGGUGGAUCAGACUGCCGGUGUACGUAAAAUGUAUAUGAGCAGUGGCGAUCGAUGCAAUAUGCUCAAUAGCCCACUAUCGGCAGAUAGCAGAAGUAAAGUCCAAUAAAAGUAACCGACCAACCAGAUCAACCUCUAUCUCAAGGAUAGAACAAUAUCACCGAUUACAAAGUCAACUAACGUUAAAUCAUAUCAUGUAUGAAUACAAGUGUCACCGACUAUGAAGUCAACUAAUGUCAAAUCAUGUCUUGUAUGAAUACAAGUGUCACCGACUGUAAAGUCAACUAAUGUCAAAUAAUGUCCUGUAUGAAUACAAGUGUCACCGACUAUAACAUCAACUAAUGUCAAAUCAUAUUAUGUAUGAAUACGAGUGUCACCGAUAAUGAAGUCAACUAAUGUCAAAUCACAGCAUAUAUGAAUACGAGUGUCACUAACUAUGAAGUCAACUAAUGUCAAAUCAUGUCUUGUAUGAAUACAAGUGUCACCGACUAUAAAACCAACUAAUGUCAAAUCAUGUCCUGUAUAAAUACAAAUGUCACCGACUAUAAAGUCAACUAAUGUCAAAUCACAACAUGUAUGACCCAAUCAUCAGAAAUAUCACUCUACUACUAGAUCAUGACCAUAUGAAAUAGGAAUAACGGUAGAGUGACCAACUACGAAAUCAAGUGAUGUAAGAAUGCUCAAUCAAUAUCAAAUAGCGAAAGAAGAUAAGAAGAAUAGAGAUCACCGAGCAGCCACCACUUUGCCGACUUCGAAUCGAAAUACCCACCUACAUGAAUAUCGCGCCUGUCUCCAACUGUGGAAGAUCGUUAAUUGGACAUACGGAGUGUCCACCGGGUUAGUAUCGAACCCACAUAUAAGGAACACUAAACCCACAAGCCCACACAUGAUCUCACGGGAAACUGAUUAUCAUAACUCACCGGAAGUUCCGAAAAUCGCACCGGAACUCCGCCGGGACCCACGAAGUAUCCCGAAACUCAUCGACUCAUGCCACGAGUCACCCGCUGCCACAAAACACAAUAUUAAAGGUGUCCUAGCAGAAAACAUCAAGUCUCACACCGGAACAAUUAUCGUCGGAUAACUGUUCCAAUCCGGAUUCCCGAAAGUGUCAAUUUCGACACCGGAACCCACCAUCGCUCACCCGUCAUCUCCGAGCUUUUCGAACGACAUAAGUGACCAGCCAACCAGGCUCAGCGACAAAGUAUAGUAUACUCGAACAGCGUCGGGAGGAAUCCGAACCGAAACCGCAUUCCGUCGACCAAUUUCGCCGAAGAACGCACUGGAAAUUGAUAUUCGAUUUCUGCAAAGGCCUCGAAUCUUGGACAAUCAGUCCAGAGAUCACCGGCCACCUACACAUAUUGCCCACAGCAGCCACAAAGUGCACAAUUGCAUAAAAGCCCCUACAAAUACAUAAAAUUACAUUAUUUUCUGUGAUUUACAAGAUUUUACAGCUCGAUACCGCAAACCGAGGGCUUUUGGGGUCAGUCGAGACACGUGCUGACAGGUCUCGACAUGCCAGAGGUCGUGCUCAUUGUUCAAAGCACAGCGGCUCACUUAGAGAGCGGGGGGGCGACCCAAAUUCAGAGAACUACGCACACUGAACUUAAAUCGCUCUUAUUCUACAAACCAGGUGCUCGCUAACCCCAAAGGAGAUGAGCACGAUGAUCAGCAUUGAUCAAGGAUCAUCGUGCUCACUUCUGAAGGCAUCGAGGUGGCAUCGGAUCGCCAGAAUAGUGCAAACAACCCCGAAACAGUGCACAAAUAGCAGUAAAUUAGCUCACCUGCCAGGGAAGAGCUAUUGCACGGCCGGGGGCGGCUCGGCGGCGCGCAACAACCUAAGUCGAGGAGGAGGGGCCUUCUAGGGUUAUGGCUGAGGGAAGUGGGCUCUAGGGUUAGGGUUUUCACCUUGAAAACCCAUCUUUAUAGUAUGCCGACUUCGCGCGUACCUCCCUCCAAUUGCGAUAUUUUUGCUGAGAUCCUGACCGCGUGUCUAUGACAACCUCGUGCAUCAACCCGCUAAAUUUUAUAGAAUUUUGCACAUAAAAUAUAGGGGGUUUCGCGCGAAAUGCGAAAACAUCAAUUCGACCCUUCCUCGGUAAGCGUGCGAUAUCUGGCGAUCCGUCCGUUGGAUUUUCGAAGGUUGUGCCGACACGUUCAGCACGACCGAAACAUCGAACCCACAAUUUUGUUUCAUUCAAUUUGGUCGCCGAUUCGCGGCGAAAGCCAUCCUCCCUCCGAUUCUCCAAAACCACACCUAUAUGUGUAAAUAAAUCAAACAAACCUCAAAUUCAAAUUCAAUUUUGAAUUUCCUAACACUGGUAGGUACCGAACCAUCCUCCACCGUACUCCAGGGCACACGCAAGGAGCACGAGAAGUUUUACAACACAAGAACAGCAAAGAACAAAAACCCUCUUUGUGAUAAAAUUCAAUUUUCUUGAAAAUCGUGCGUCAAAACCAAAAUCCGUUAGUGCCAGUGGGUCCAGGACGGUCAGACCAUUGAAAACGAGCUAUUGGAUCAUUAUAAACGAAAUCCGAUACUCACCAAAAGCCAUCACUACCUAUUGGUCUCUUCGGAAAGUAUAACUUAAAAUAAUUGCCACUAAAGUACAAUUAGGUAUUAGGUAAUGGUGGCCAUUCAAUAAUUGCCGCUAAUAAAUUGCCACUAAAACUCAAUUUUGUUGUAGUGCUAAGCCAAAAGACACAACCUUACAAAAGGACAUACUCUUUCAUAUGAUACACAAGUUUUCAACAAAACAAAUAAAAUUAAACAAAUAAACAAAUAAACAAACUUAUAAACUAACAAUAUCAAUACCCAGUACAGUCGUACAACCCUCGGCUACCGCAAACCAUAGUAUGUCUCAAAUCCGAUGCUACCCUAAUAUCCAGCACAUCACUCUGCCUAAUCCCGGGCACAAAGACACAAAGUUUGCUACUGACAAUAAGAAUUCAUAAUCCAAUUCAUUGAGUCGAGUGGUAGUGUGCAUGGUGGAAUCUCAGUUUAAUUGAAUGUAUGGAAUAAGCCACAUAGAUGCUAGUAACGAAGAUGCUUAAGUUUAAUUAGAGUAGUUCCAUAUUCAGCAAAUAAGCAUGCUUCAACAUAAAUUAUACUAAGAACAUGUUGGUGAUAUACUCAAUAGGCAUACUAGCUAAUUCGGAUCUUUUGAUGAAUUCAAACCCACGGCUACCUCAACCCACAAGGGUCUAUAAUCCCAUGCUACCUAAACCCUCGGCAAAAAAUAAAAUCCACGUACGUUACCUAUCACAUGCACUCUGCUAACACUAGGUACAAGGAAGCACCAAUCUGAUGUAAGUGUGCUAACUACAAGGUUCAGUUUGCUAACAUGUACAGAUUGUGUAAUAGGAGGGAUCAAAGUUUAAUAGGUAAGAUUUUAUAAAUUUAUUUUUUAUAUAUAUAUCUAAUUUAAUCCAUUUAAUUUAUUGCUCGUUGACCAGUUCAUGAGCUAGCUCGUGUUCGGCUUGGAACACGAGUUGAAUUUUUCCGCUCGAUACUUUAACAAGCCAACUCAUGGCCCUAGCUCGCUCGUGUUUGGCUCGUUGACACCCCUACCCUUAUUAAUAUAAUUCCAAUCCCAUACGUACUAACAAUAUCAUUCAUUCAACUUUUAUAGGUAUAAAUCACAGCCGUAUAAUUUUUAUUUUAUUUUCAAAUUAUCAAAAAACGUAUUAAUUCUUAGUCAUUGGAUCUAAUCCAAUGGCCGACGAAUUAAAUAUCUAUGAUUUUCUUUAACUAAAUUAUGCUUAGGCAGUAGUAUCAAAUCCGACCUUUUAUGUACAUACCCUAUCUUCUUACAUAAUAUCCAUAUUAUAUUUUAUCUAAUAAUAAUUAUUUUUACACUUCAUACUUUUCUAUACUAUAUAUAAAAGCAGAUAAAAGUUCUUAUAAUGACAUACAGAAUUAAAAAAAAAAUGAAUAAAUAAAAUUUCAUGUCAAUGGUUAUGAUUAAUUUGUUAAAAAAAUAUCUCAAAUAAAAAUAAUAGUUAUAAUCAAUCUAUUAAAAAAUAACAUUCUUAUCUAUUAAUAUAUCAAAUCCUAGGAAUUAGUGAUUAUGAUUAAUUUAUUAAAAAAUAUUUCAAAUAAAAGAAAACGGUUAUGAUCAAUCUGGCCUAUCCGUAGAUUUUACAUUAAAAUUUAAAUUUAAAUUUAAAUCAUGAAUUGAAUUUAAUUUUGGAUAUCAAAUUUGAAUUAACCAUUAAAACUUUUAAUUAUAAUUGAUCAAAAUUAAAUUUUAACAAAUUAAAAUCCAUAAAUUAAUUUUGGAUAUCAAAUUUGAAUUAACAAUUAAUAUAUUUAAUUACGGUGAAUCAAAAUUAAAUUUAAAUUUUCAAAGUAAAUGUGAAUUAAAUUUUGACGCAUUUAGUUUAAACAAUAUACUUAAAUUUUAAAUUUAUUAGAAUUCAAAAAAAUAAAAAAAUAAUAUAAGAUAUUGCAGAUAUUUUCUAAUAAACUAUAACAUAUAAAUUUAUAAAAUAUAAUUUUUAUUGUAAAUUUUAAUUGUAAUUUUUGUUGUAUAUUUUAAACUUUUAUAGUAUAUAUCCACUAUCUCUCAAUUAAUGUUUGAAAAAUAAAUUAUGAAAAAAUAACCCUAUCAAAUCAAUUUUAAAUCUUAAGUUUGCUUCAAAAUUUCAAACGUGAAUCCAUAUUUUAAUUCAAAAUUUAAAAUUAAUUUAAAUUUUUAAUAUUUUGCUCUAUAAACAGACGGUUUCAAAAUAAAAAUAAUUAAUUAUAAAUCUAUAUUUCCAAUAACUAUUUAUAUUCAAAUUAUGGAUUCAAAAUUAGUUUUAAAUUUUGAAUUUUGUUCAAAAAUUUAAAUAUGAAUUUGUUAACUCAAAAUGUAGAAUUAAUUCAAAUUUUUAAAAUUUGUAUACGGAGUAAAAAAUUGUAUAUUAUAAAAAUAUAUAUAAAAAAUAUUUACAGUGUAACUAAAAAAUAUAUAUAUAAAAUUUAUCCGAACUUAAAUUAAAGUUAAAAAAAUUCUAUAAAUAAACUCUUACCAUCAAUAACUAUUUAAAUUUAAAAUAUAAAUAUAAAUUUUAUUUAAUUUAUUGUGAUUUGCAUGGCACGUGUAACUAGUAUAAAUAAAUCAGCGUACCAGAAUGAUUGGUCCGCUGUUUUACCAACGUCCACCCCAAACUAAUUAAACCACUAAUUUAAUUUACCACACCUCCGUUUCAAGAAUCAAGAGUACGUGCGUAGAUACGAGAUGAGUUCGUCGAGCUACAGGGCUAUGGCCGAGAAGGUGAAGGCGAGGGCCGAAGACAAGUUCCGGAGCAACGACGUGCGCGGGGCGAGGGUGCAGGCCCUCAAGGCGCAGUCGCUCUUCCCCGCCCUGCCCGGCCUCGCGCAGGCCCUUACGGCAUACAACGUCCACCUUGCCGCCGCCACCAGGAAGCUCCCGUCCGGCGGGACCGACUGGCACGCCGUCCUCGACGUCCCGCCAACCGCCGGCACGGACGCGAUCAAAAAGAAGUUCAAGCGGCUGUGCCUCCUCACCCACCCGGACAAGAAUCCCUCCGCGGCCGCCGACGGCGCCUUCAAGCUCGUCGUCCGCGCCUGGGACGCCAUCUCCUCCUCCUCCUCCUCUUCAGCUGCAUCCGCCGCCGCCUCCUGCGAAUCCCAGUCGUCCGGGUUCGAAUCGCGCCGCCGCAGUACUCGCUCCGACUCGGGGUCGGGAUUCGCCGACAGCGCAAGAAAACCAUCGACCGGCGGGUCCUCCUCCUCCUCCAACAGUAAUGCUAACUCCGGCUCAGGACCGCAGCCCGGCCGAUCGGCGGCGUCACAAGAAUCUUUCGACGGCAGCUGCGGCGCCACGCAUGUCGUGCCCUACUGCUUGCACUGCGGCGCAAACUCCGGCCUCCGCUUCACGUUCGAAAGAAGCGGUUUCUUGGACGUCCGAAUCAUCUGCCCCAGUUGCAAGAAGAUGUACCGCUGCCAUAUGGAAAUAAGGUUGUCGUCAUAGCGGGAUUGCUAGAGAAGCGGCAUGCCAGUGUAAAGUAAAUUAACAGAGAUUGAUCAAAGCUCUUGCCAUUAUUAUGAUAAUAAUGUAUCUUUAUUUACUUUCCUGCAUGAGUGGCCGCGAUGCUUGAUGUAUUAAUUCUGCAUGCUUCUCUUAUUCAUGAAAUAAAAAGAGAUGACGCAGCUCUUUCAAGAUGAUUUCUUUUAUUGUUGCUAGUGUGGCUCCGCUUUAGUUUCAAUUCACUUGUUUUUUCAAUUGCUGAAUUGAUUACGUAUAUAUGUUAGUGGAGUAGAUUGAUAGCUCCCUGAUCUGCCACCUUGGCUCGUCUGAGGAAAUGAGGAAAUCUCGGCCUCGAGAAUUGAAGUUAGGGCCCCUAUCUCGACCCCUGCGUCGGUUGCUUCCGCGGCCUCUUGGGACACAAAAGCCACAAACACAUCAAGAGUUGGGCUUGAGUGUCGAUUGACUCGUAUAGCUUUGACGUUGGGGAACCACCUCGACAUAUAGUGAAAUGGGAAGUCUAAACAUAGUUGUCUUGAACAGCUUACAGAUCUCAUCGAGCCUUUCUAAUAACCUAAAAAUUUUGGUGGAAUCCGAAAAAUUUUUGCCAAUAGUAUGCAAUUAGUUACAAAUUGACUUAAAAUUAUGAAGAUAUAUAAAUAGAUAAAGGAUGAUUUGCUUUCUUGAUGUAUUGCAGCUACGCGAGUAGGUCGAGCUCUAGGGCGACCGAGCUCUACUUGAAGUGAUUGGGUAAGGCUGUCCACACUUCGGCUAUAGUUUGAAGACCGACAGCACGGCCGAGAGCCUCUUUGGAAAGAGUGCCCAUGAUCCAUGAUUUUAUAAGGCAAUCGGUCCAUACCGAAGAUGCAUAGUCUGGUUGUUGACAUUGCCUCCACAAUAGCAUCCAUCCAUGAAUUUGAUACCCGGGCUGGUUGAUAUUUUGCUAGCGAUGAGCUCAAAAUAUUUUCAAAACUAAAUUUUAAAUUUUUUUUUAAAUUGUUAAUAUUUUUUUUAUUUUAUUUUUAUAUAUUCUUUAAAAUUUUGUACAUCUCUGAAAGGUAAAAUGUAAAAAUUUUCGUUCCAACAUGCACCGAUUGUGCUACUAGUUUUGUAUCUUACUAUAUAUUCUUCUUCGGUGAAUAUUUUUAUAUAGAAAAUACAAAAGUAAUUUUAGCAAACAGUUGGAAAGAAAAAAAAAUAAUAAUGAAUUUUAGAAUAUUGUAAAAAAAAUUUAAAAGAAGAAUAAUAGAAAAUAAGAAAAUAAGCAAAAGAAAAAGAAGGGAGAAGAAUUAAACCAUGAAGAAGAGAAGAAAUUUCCCCCGCAAACAUACAUGGUAUAGAAAAAAUGAAAAAAUAUUACAUACUGAUAGUCAAACUUUUGAAAACCAAAUUUUAUUUCAACUGUACUCUCUCUCAAUUUACAUAGUUUAAUUUCUUAUUCGUGGAGACAUAUAUAAUUUCAAAUACUAUUAAGAGAUCUAUCUCCCACAGAUUUUAUCUUUUGAAAAUUUUAAUCCCUUACCAAGCGUCCUUAGAGCAAGUGGCAAAAGACUUGGUGGUUAGUAGUUGAUUCACAUUUUCAGCUAAGUUUAUUUCUAAAUGAAAUAAACGAAACGGAUAGCGUGUAUACCUAUCUCUCUCUCAAAAAAAAAAAAAAAAAAAAAAAAAUCCCUUCUCUGAAAGAUAUUUAUUAAAGACUUCUAGAUAUAUGCAUGAAACAAAAAUUUCUUCUUAGUAAAUCUUACUAGCUUACAACAAACUGGAGUACUUAAUCAAAAUAGCUCAGUUGCCUCAAAGUAAAGUCUAAAUAUAUAAAAUCAACUAAAUCAAAAUAAAGAAAACUUGAUCUAAACCUAAUGAAAAUCCCAUUUUGUAUUGAAGAUGCUGCUGCACUGAAGUUCAACUGCAUAGGAGACGUUCAAGGUUCGGCACGUUUACAUUCUGAUGCUAUAGCUGGGCAACACAAUUAAUGAGGUUCAAUUUCCCAGAUAGAACUACAUCAAAAUUGCUGGAAAUUUCAGUUACAUUUUUUUAUGCAUCAAAAGAGACUAGUUGAUGUGGAACAUGUUCAAGCCAAGUAAGAUGAAUGCUUUGUAAUUGCUACACUACUUUUGCAUGUAUUAUUCAAUUACAAAAUUUUUACCACUUUAUAUGUCAAAUAGAACAACCAAAAGUUUUACGUUCUAUAAUUUUCUAGAAAAAAUGGCUUUCAUAUAGACAUUUACCAAUAAAUUAAAGUUUGAAAUCUUUAUCUUGAUUCCUUAUCCUUUCGUCGUUCUUGUUCUUCGUUUAACUACUGAUAUUGAUUCUCUUCCAACAUUAAAUCAAUAUACGAUUUACGAUUUUUAAUAUUUUAUACAAAUUUAGUUAAUAGGCAUUUAAUUCAAGCUGCCGACUACCUAAUAAAUUUUCUAGUGUGCAGUUAUUAUGCUUUUGGAAAUAUAUACAUCAAUUUUUUAGCUUUUGAAUUUCAAUAAGGUUUACUGAAUGAUGAUAAUACUAUGGACCUAAUUUGAGGACUUAGAAGUUGAAAGUUGCCGUUUCUUAAAAGCUCCAUAGCUUAACACAAAAUUAUAUUGCGAGAGGAACGCCUAGUCAUUAUCUCCUCCAAUUAAGGUGGUAAGGAAGGGAGGUUUUAAUGCCACCUGUAGUAUCAAAAUCAUUGAAGAAUUGGGAUGACUAUAGUAUAUAUGUGUUGUUGGGAUGACUAUGCGCCGUGACACAGCUGGUCUUCUGUAGCCUAAUGUUCUAUCUUUUGUUCCAUCUCAAAUAGGAUACACUCCUAUUUAAUCGAAAAAAAAAAAAUCGUUUUAGAAUUGUCAUUCGAUUAUAAUUAUCAGUUAAAGCCUUGUCCAACGUAAACAUUAUCUUUGGACAAAUAAAAACAGAUCAAAACUGCAACUCCUCAUGCACACUGACUGCAUGCGCUACUCGACAAUAAAGAAAACAGAAAACAAUAUCAAUUAAUGAAUUGAAACUAAAGCGGAGCCACACUAGCAACAAUAAAAGAAAUCAUCUUGAAAGAGCUGCGUCAUCUCUUUUUAUUUCAUGAAUAAGAGAAGCAUGCAGAAUUAAUACAUCAAGCAUCGCGGCCACUCAGGCAGGAAAGUAAAUAAAGAUACAUUAUUAUAAUAAUAAUGGCAAGAGCUUCGAUCAAUCUCUGUUAAUUUACUUUACACUUGCAUGCCGCUUCUCUAGCUAGCAAUCCAGCUACGACGACGACAACCUUAUUCCCAUAUGGCAGCGGUACAUCUUCUUGCAACUGGGGCAGAUGAUUCGGACGUCCAAGAAACCGCUUCUUUCGAACGUGAAGCGGAGGCCGGAGUUUGCGCCGCAGUGCAAGCAGUAGGGCACGACAUGCGUGGCACCGCAGCUGCCGUCGAAAGAUUCUUGUGACGCCGCCGAUCGGCCGGGCUGCGGUCCUGAGCCGGAGUUAGCAUUACUGUUGGAGGAGGAGGAGGACCCGCCGGUCGAUGGUUUUCUUGCGCCGUCGGCGAAUCCCGACCCCGAGUCGGAGCGAGUACUGCGGCGGCGCGAUUCGAACCCGGACGACUGGGAUUCGCAGGAGGCGGCCGCGGAUGCAGCUGAAGAGGAGGAGGAGGAGGAGAUGGCGUCCCAGGCGCGGAUGACGAGCUUGAAGGCGCCGUCGGCGGCCACGGAGGGAUUCUUGUCCGGGUGGGUGAGGAGGCACAGCCGCUUGAACUUCUUCUUGAUCGCGUCCGUGCCGGCGGUUGGCGGGACGUCGAGGACGGCGUGCCAGUCGGUCCCGCCGGACGGGAGCUUCCUGGUGGCGGCGGCAAGGUGGACGUUGUAUGCCGUAAGGGCCUGCGCGAGGCCGGGCAGGGCGGGGAAGAGCGACUGCGCCUUGAGGGCCUGCACCCUCGCCCCGCGCACGUCGUUGCUCCGGAACUUGUCUUCGGCCCUCGCCUUCGCCUUCUCGGCCAUGGCCCUGUAGCUCGACGAACUCAUCUCGUAUCUACGCACGCACUCUUGAUUCUUGAAACGCGCGGAGGUGUGGUAAAUUAAAUUGGUGGUUUAAUUUGUUUGGGGUGGACGUUGGUAAAACAGCGCACGAAUCAUUCUGGUACGCUGAUUUAUUUAUAUGUAUAUAUUUAAGAAGCCGCUCGAUGAGACCGAAAUAUAAUAUACAGUAAAUUAUUUUAAUUAUUAGUAUCAAUUUUUUUUUAAUACAUUAAUAUUUUUAAAUUUAAUAAUUAAAAAUUAAAGAAUAAAUUAAAAAAUAAAAUUAAAGUGGAUUUUUUUCUAAAAACAUUUUAACCUAAUAAGUAAUAUGAUAAAUUAGUUAAAUUUAAAACAAAGGCUCAUUACAAUAUUAAAAAAGAUGAAUAAUAUUUUUCUAUUAUCCUCAAGGUAAAAUUUAUGAAUAAAAAAAUAUUAAGAAAUUAAUUUGAGUGAAAGUACUAUCUUUCGUAUUUUUGGCGCCAACAUUUUUAUUAUGCAGUCAUUAAUUUUUAUCGUCGCACAUACAACUAAUAAAUUAUUUGCUACCUAAGUUUUAAAUUAGUGAAGAAAUUUUUAGAACAAAUACCGCAACGAAAUCUGAUUGUGAUUUAAAUCUAACUAAAUUUUAUUAUAAAUACAACUUACAGAUAAUUGCUAUAUCCAAAUAAAUAUUUAAUUGAUCCGGAAGCGUGCGAGGCACUGCCCUAAGGCGUAUUUCCGUCCUUAUGUGCGGGAUUAACCGGGAACAACACCCCAAGGUACGACCGGAAUUUCUCCUCCUGCGAGCACGAUCGUGAAGAAGGUUGACGAAGACUCUUUCAACACCCGAUGACAAAAAGAUCAAAGCCAAAUAGAUAAAAAUAAUAGAUAGAAAAAUAUAUGUCCUCCAAUGUUUCUCUUUGCAAUGUUUUAUGUCAUGAACAGUAGAAAGAGUACUAUAUAAAAGGGUGUGAAUAGAACAUUGGAUACCCUAACAUUCUACUCCAAUAAUUAAUUCCAUUUAAUUCAUGCUUUAAUGUGAAAUAAAGGAGGAAUAAAUUAAAUUUAAUCCAUCCAAUUAAUUAACAUAAUAAAAGACAAUAAAUGAGAAUAAUUAUAAAACUAAAUGAGAUUUGGAGAUUUUGGAUUUUACACCAACAAUUCCCCACAAAAUUCAAAAUCACAAAAUCAAAAUUAAACAAAUAAAUAAAUGAAUCAUCGGGUAUUUAUACUAUGCAAUAGGCGAGGUGUCUUUAAAAGACUUAACCCCACUUAGUGUAAAUAGUUUCCAUCAGAAGGAAUCGGAGUGAAUCAGGUCUUGAACUACGUUCCUUUGGCCCUGACUUCUACUACCACACACACAGUACAGAAUUCUCCGUCGCGGGUCUGUGCGUUAAUGGCCAUGCACAGUACCUUGAUUUUUCAUAAGAGUUUCUAUGUAUAGCCCAUUCACAUAGCCGCGGCCACAUACGGAUACUCUUAUAUAGGUGGUUCCCUCUUGGGAUGUUGAUAUAGAGUCCAUCUCGCGAAAAUCAUCACCUUGAGAUCCCAUUAAAAAGCUCUACAGUCAAUCUAUACACUUAACAGAGCACUCUCACCAUAGGCGAUGGGAUUGGAGCUAAAGACUCCUAUUAUAAAAUUUAUAGAAGUGCUCUUGGCCAACCCUGACAGCUUCGUUAUUUAACACAUGAACUUUAUCAAGGAUCUCUAUCACAAGUUGGCGGUUCCACUGGCAGGAAGGCCUUUACCGGGCAGAGUCCCUCCCCUCGUUGACCCAGGACCUUAGUCCUAUAUUCAGGGCCGUUCGUAAAAUAAUCUGCAAAUUUGUUUCAGAUUGAUAACAAAAUCAAAUAAAGUAAUAUUAAUGAAAAUAACCAUCUAUAAAAUUUAUGUCUCAAAAAAAUAUUUACCUGCCAAUUUUAGAAUUGCAAAAUUCGUUUUCCAAGUGAACACUAUGGAUAAAUCACUGAGGAGAGCCAUUAUAUAUCAAAAUUAUCAAACUGAUAAAGAGUAAUCCCCACAAGUUUUGCCGAUAUAUCAAAUUAAAUCAUGAGGUUAAUCAUGUUAAUGGGUUUGGGGUUCAACAGGCAAAUAGAUGGCCUAAUAAUUUUUUAAAUUUAUCUCAAUUAGAUCUUUUCAUUACAAAUAUAAUGAAACAAUAUCGAUCAACAAAAGAUGAUUACGAUAAAGUAGCCCGUUGCUGUUGGUUAGCACGACUUUGUUCAAGACUGUGCUUUAAACAUAACUGUUGGGUUUUCAAAUCCAAUAUUGAAACAUAACAGAUGUGACAGUUAGGGGAUAAAUCAAGCUUUAAAGAAAUCUACCUUUUUUUUUUUUUUUUAAGUCAAAACAUAGUAUAAUGUAUUUGCCACUAAAAAAAAACUUUCUUUACAUGUAGUAUUUUUUUUCAAUCGUAGAACCGUCUAUAAACAAAUACUGUAGCAUUAUAUAUCAUUUUUACCAAAGAAUUUAUGUAGCAAAACUCUAAAGAUCAGCUAAUAUAAUUAUUUUUUACUUUAUCAAUUUUUUUUUUUUAAAUAUCACCAUAAUAAAUUAUAAAUCUUAACAGUUAAAUUAAAUAAUUAUACAAUACAUGUUCAAGUGCUAAUCUCCAGGAAAAUUUAUGUUUGAUUGCCAUUCAUAGAAACUUACAAACAAAAUUAUAUAAUUAUAAAUUAACUAAUUAUAAUACGGACAUUAGCAGCCGUUAGAUUUCAGAUGCACAAUCAAAAGUCGAGAUCAGCCUUAGAUUGUCUAGAAACAAUACCGACGAAUUUGAUUGUGUAUUUAAAUCUAACUAAAUUUUAUUUAAAUACAACUGUUACAGAUAAUUGGCUUUAUCCAAAUAAAUACUUAUUGAUCUGAAGUAGUGCGGAGCACUAGCCUAGAGGCGUAUUUCCUGUCCUUACGUGCUGGGGAUUAACCGGGAACACACCCAACGGGUACGACGGAAUCAUACCUCUGCGAUGCACGAUGUGAAGAAGGUUGACGAAGACUCUUUCAACACCCGAUGACAAAAAGAUCAAAGCCAAAUAGAUAAAAAUAAUAGAUAGAAAAAUAUAUGUCCUCCAAUGUUUCUCUUUGCAAUGUUUUAUGUCAUGAACAGUAGAAAGAGUACUAUAUAAAAGGGUGUGAAUAGAACAUUGGAUACCCCAACAUUCUACUCCAAUAAUUAAUUCCAUUUAAUUCAUGCUUUAAUAUGAAAUAAAGGAGGAAUAAAUUAAAUUUAAUCCAUCCAAUUAAUUAACAUAAUAAAAGACAAUAAAUGAGAAUAAUUAUAAAACUAAAUGAGAUUUGGAGAUUUUGGAUUUUACACCAACAGAAAUCAGAAGCACAAAAAAUAAGACUAAUCAAAAGACAUUCGAAAUCAAAAUAAAUAUUUUUUAUACUGUAAAAAAAUUCAACUACCAAAUAACUAAUCUAAUAAUAUUCUUAUAUUAUUAUAUAAACUAAUUCUUAAAAAUAUUAAUGUGUGGGGCCGACAACCCUCCAAAAUAAGGAGAGGCUUUAGAGUUACCAAUUCAUACAUAUUUUGGGGACUAAAGUAAAAAACAUACAAAGAAAAAAUUAUUAAAUAGACGAUGGUAUGAUAAUUUCGAUAAUUUUAAAAUAUUUUUUAACGGUUUUUCUUUUCCACCUAAGUUUAAAUACUAGGGCUGAGACACUCUGCCAUUUCGUAUGCUCCUUCCAUCUUUCUACUGGCUUGGAUACCCAGCGAUUUGGUGGAGAGAUAUGACAUAUUCCAAAUUAUUUUUUUUAUAAUUACAGUUAAUUUAUUUGGUUUUAUAUAGUUAGGAUUUAUAUUUAAAAAUUUUAUUACUUUUUCAUAUAUGUAGUGAAAAUGUUACCUUCAAUACGGAAGAAAAAAUAUUUUUUUUUAUUUGGAAGGUAAUUAGGUAAGUAGACAUUAAUUUCUCUUAGAUACUAAAAUUAUAUUCUUCAACUACUGUAGUUGAAGCUAUGCCCAGGUUGGGCGUAGUUUCAUCGCCUGCCUUUGAGUCUCCUUCAACAAUUUUAGUUAUAGCAAUUGGAUUCUACUACAUCAACCAAAAUAAUUUAAUUGGCUCUACAUGUAGUAGUUAAAUUGAUAGGACAAAUACUAGUGUAUCCUUUAAAAGGUUAUAAAUAACUGACAUAUCUUUUUAAAUUUUAUAAAAGUUUAUAAAUAAUUGAUAUAUCCCUUUAACUUUUAAAAUAAUUUUAUAUCUUAUUCUGAAUUUUUAAUACGUUACAAAAAUAUCCUAUGUUGACUUUCCAUCAGUCAUUCGUUAAAAUUCUCUUUUCGUGAUCAACGGGAAUCACACUUUGAAAAGUAAAAAUUAUGUCAGAUCUAUAACCCACUUUGAGUUGUAAUCCUACAACAACCCCAAAUCAAUGGUUAACUUUUCUUCAUUUGUCUCAUCACUUUUUUUUGUAUUUAUAAAAACUAAAGGGGUUAGUGAAUCCUUUUUCUUUAUUUACUAAAAACUAAAGGGGCUAGUGAAUCCUUAAUUAACAUCCUUGGAUAAGGGGUUGUAGUGAUAUUGUCACGCCCCGGGGUCUCUUUUUAGUUGUAAGUCAGCGAAAAAAUAUCCAAACUUUUUUUUUUGAAAACUUUGACUCAAAGAAUGACAGAGCCGCCACAAAUAUAGAAAACUCACUAACCUCAUGGACAGAGCCUCCCCUAUAUUUGUACGGCAUCGCACGAGUACAAGUACAACCACAAUCAUUCACAACAUAGCGUAUAUUUACAUUUUCAUAAGAAAACCUUUUAAAAAUCGUUUCCCACUUAGAAACCUUUUCUAUAAAGUGCUACUACGAGAGGUAGAAAACCAUUUUCAUAAUUCAUAUGAUAAUAACAAAACAACAUUAUUUGACCUCACAAAACCAUAUAUAUCCAACAUGAAUAAAAGUCACUAAACCAUAAACACUACAACAGAAUUAGGUUAUAGGGACACAUGUUUGGGACACUUUUGAGUAAAUGUCCCAUUUAUGCUAAAAUUUAAAAAAACAUCUACUAAUGCCUAAAAAUAAAGCCCAAUCCAACCAAAAAUAAAAGAUUACUCUACUCAACCCACCACACCCAGUCCAUUUGGCCCGAUUACAAACAGAAAAGAAAAAAAAAAGAAAAAUCAAUUACCAUCUUUUCUUCUCUCUUCACUCAAUCUACUGAAAUUCUAGACGAAGAGUCUUUCCUGUCGUCCUCCUCCGCCACCGCAGCCAACGAGAUAGAAUUUCGACGGUUGAUAAAUGCUUAAAUAAGUUUUAGUAAAUUAGCAGCACUCUUUUAGGUUAUAGCGACACUCUUUAACUGUCACUAUAUACCUAGCGACCCCACAUAUAGCAACACUUUUUAAAAGUGCCGGUAAUUUUAGCUAGCAGCACUUUUUUGACAUGUACCUAUAUUUAAAAGUGUCGCUAUAGACCGUUUUUGUUGUAGUGAAAGUAUCUAAGUCAUUUAUUUAUAGGAAGAGGGUAGGGUUAUAACGAAAUCAAUCCAAUGGAAAGUAAUGGACAUCAUCAACGAAUAACUCUGGGCACAUCUAGCUAAUAUUGUCCUCACGCACCGUCCCAACACUCACCGCCCACAUCACAUGAAAAAUGGUAGGGGGUGAGAACAUAUAAACAUGUCUUCCCCUCCCAGUUGGUACCGCAAGCCGACGAAGGCGAAGAGUACUCACCGGUAUAAGAAGAAAUAACCAAAGUCAUGAGUAGAUAUCACAAAUGCAGUAGUAAUAACACUGGAAGAAAAAAGAACAAUAAGAGAACAUAUAACUAGCCGCUACUGUAAACUAAAACAGAAUCAAUCGGAUGAUCAGUCCCAAGAAUACCCAAUCCAGAAACGGCCAUAUUGCUUUGAAGACCUCAGGCUAUCCCACUCCCGCUCCAGUAGGGAUGUGACCCGAGCAAAAGGACCGUUGGAGUCUCCCUGGCAUGUAACCUAGCAAGAGGGCUGCUGAGCUCACGGGUCGGAUGUACGACCACUUUUUCAAAAAAAAACACCCUCCUGUGGUGGAUCAGACCAUCGGUGUACGUAAAAUGUAUAUGAGCAGUGGCGAUCGAUGCAAUAUGCUCAAUAGUCCACUGUCGGCAGAUAGCAGAAGUAAAAUCCAAUAAAAGUAACCGACCAACCAGAUCAACCUCUAUCUCAAGGAUAGAACAAUAUCACCGAUUACAAAGUCAACUAACGUCAAAUCAUAUCAUGUAUGAAUACAAGUGUCACCGACUAUGAAGUCAACUAAUGUCAAAUCAUGUCCUGUAUCAAUACAAGUGUCACUGGCUGUAAAGUCAACUAAUGUCAAAUAAUGUCCUGUAUGAAUACAAAUGUCACCGACUAUAACGUCAACUAAUGUCAAAUCAUAUUAUGUAUGAAUACGAGUGUCACCGACAAUGAAGUCAACUAAUGUCAAAUCACAGCAUAUAUGAAUACGAGUGUCACUGACUGUGAAGUCAACUAAUGUCAAAUCAUGUCCUGUAUGAAUACAAGUAUCACCGACUAUAAAGCCAACUAAUAUCAAAUCAUAUCCUGCAUGAAUACAAAUGUUACCGACUAUAAAGUCAACUAAUGUCAAAUCACAACAUGUAUGACCCAAUCAUCAGAAAUAUCACUCUACUACUAGAUCAUGACCAUAUGAAAUAGGAAUAACGGUAGAGUGACCAACUACGAAAUCAAGUGAUGUAAGAAUGCUCAAUCAAUAUCAAAUAACAAAAGAAGAUAAUAAGAAUAGAGAUCACCGAGCAGCCACCACUUUACCGACUUCGGAUCAAAAUACCCACCUAUAUGAAUAUCACGCCUGUCUUCGACUGUGGAAGAUCGUUAACUAGACCUACGAAGGGUCUACUGGGUUAGUAUCGAACCCACAUAUAAGGAACACUAAACCCACAAGCCGACACAUGAUCCCACGGGAAACCGAUUACCAUAACUAAUCGAAAGUCCCGAAAAUCGCACCUGGACUCUACCGGGACCCACGAAGUGUCCCGAAACUCAUCGACUCGUGCCACGAGUCACCCGCUGCCACAAAACACAAUAUUAAAGGUGUCCUAGCAGAAAACAUCAAGUCUCACACCGAAAUAAUUAUCGUCGGAUAACCGUUCCAAUCCGGGUUCCCGAAAGUGUCAAUUUCGACACCGGAACCCAUCAUCGUUGACCCGUUGUCUUCGCGCUUUUUGAAUGACAUAAGUGACCAGCCAACCAGGCUCAGCGACAAAGUAUAGUAUACUUGAACAUCGUCGGGAGGAAUCCGAACCGAAACCGCGCUCCGUCGGCCAAUUUCGUCGAAGAACGCACUGGAAAUUGAUAUUCGAUUUCUGCAAAGGCCUCGGAUCUUGGACAAUCAGUCCAGAGAUCACCAGCCAUCUACACAUACUGCCCACAGCAGCCACAAAGUGCACAAUUGCAUAAAAGCCCCUACAAAUACAUAAAAUCACAUUAUUUUUUGUGAUUUACAAGGUUUUACAGCUCGAUUCCGCAAACUGAGGGCUUUUGGGGUCAGUCGAGACACGUGCUGACAGGUCUUGACAUGCCAGAGGUCGUGCUCAUGGUUCGGAGCACAGCAGCUCACUUGGAGGGCGCGGGGGCGACCCAAAAUUCAGAGAACUACGCACACUGAACUUAAAUCACGCUUAUUCCACAAACCAGGGACUCGCUAACCCCAAAGGAGAUGAGCACGAUGAUCAGCAUUGAUCAAGGAUCAUCGUGCUCACUUCCGAAGGUAUCGAGGUGGCCUCGGAUCGCCGGAACAGUGCAAACAACCCCGAAACAAUGCACAAAUAGCAGUAAAUUAGCUUACCGGCCAGGGGAGAGCUAGGGCACGGCCGGCGGCGGCUCGGCGGCGCGCAACAACCUCAGUCGAGGAGAAAGGGCCUUCUAGGGUUAUGGCUGAGGGAAGUGGGCUCUAGGGUUAGGGUUUCCACCUUGAAAACCUAUCUUUAUAUUAUACCGACUUCGUGUGUACCUCCCUCCAAUUGUGAUAUUUUUGCUGAGGUCCUGACGGCGUGUCUAUGACAACCUCGUGCAUCAGCCCGCUAAAUUUCAUAGAAUUCUGCACAUAAAAUAUAGGGGGUUUCGUGCGAAAUGCGAAAACAUCAAUUCGACCCUUCCUCGGUAAGGGUGCGAUAUCUAGCGAUCUGUCCGUUGGAUUUCCGAACGGGUUGUGCCGACACGUUCAGCACGACCGAGACAUCGAACCCACAAUUUUGUUUCAUUCAAUUUGGUGGCCGAUUCGCGGCGAAAGCCAUCCUCUCUCUGAUUCUCCAAAACCACACCUAUAUGUGUAAAUAAAUCAAACAAACCUCAAAUUCAAAUUCAAAUUUGAAUUUCCUACCACUGGUAGGUACCCGAACCAUCCUCCACCCUACUCCAGGACACACGCACGGAGCACAAGAAGUUUUACAACACAAGAAUAGCAAAGAACAACAACCCUCUUUGUGAUAAAAUCCAAUUUUCUUGAAAAUCGUGUGUCAAAACCAAAAUCCGUUAGUGCCAAUGGGUCCAAGAUGAUCGGACCAUUAAAAACGAGCUAUUGGAUCAUUAUAAAUGGAAUCCGAUACUCACCAAAAGCCAUCACUAUCUAUUGGUCUCUCCGGAAAGUAUAGCUUAAAAUAAUUGCCGCUAAAGUACAAUUUGGUAUUAGGUAAUGGUAGCCAUUCAAUAAUUGCCGCUAAUAAAUUGCCACUAAAACUCAAUUUUGUUGUAGUGAAUUAUAAUCUCAUUAUAAUUAAUUGAUCCUUCAUUUGUCUUAGAUGCUUCACCACUUGCUCCAUUGACUCAAUUAGCUGCAUGGACCCCUACCUUUCCCAGUUAAUAUCUUCCCAACUAUACUCAUUGAUUUUCUCUUCUCCUAAGUGAUACCCUUCCUCCCCUGGCAAGACUAUUGAUUUUUCCUCUACUUAUUGGUUCUCUUCCACCCCUCCCAAGUGGUUGUUAAUUUCCUUUCCCCACUCCAUAGUUGUUUGGUUCACUGGCGGCCUCCCUCCUUGAUUCACUAUUGGUCUCCAUCCAUGAUUCACUGGUAGUCUCUCUCCACUGUUACUACUCGUUCCCUCACCACAUAUUUUCUCAAUCUCUAAAUGCAAUAUUAGUGCAAGAUUGAGUAUUGUGUCCAAACUCUUCACACUUAUUACAUCUAUACUUUUUUACCUCCUCUGUUAAUUUUACUUUUUUGGGGCUAAUCAACUGCCCUCUUUCUUACUUUUUUAGGUCUAAUUAGUUGUUUUCUAUAUGGAAGUGACAUUAUAAGUUCAAUUCCAAUCUUAUGCCACAUUGAAUAAUGAGGUAUAGGCAUGAUCAUGUGGCUAUAUGCUCUAAUAUGAGUCUCGUUUUAGAAAAUAAUUAUGAACAAACACCUCGGGAUCUAUCUUUUGUUUGUAUAUAGCAGAGAGAACAUGUUUACAUAGAAUCCUAGUCACAUCCCAUUGUCUGUAUUCACAAGUUGAUACUGCUAAGUUAACAAUAUACUACCUUCCAGUGCAAUGAACUUCAUAAAUAGUUUUUCUAGCCCAUAGUGGCUCACAAUUUUUAGCUUUUUCUCUUAUUAACUUGUAUACAAGCAAAGACAACAUGUUUACGUAGAAUCCUAGUCACAUCCCAUUAUCUGCAUUCACAAGUUGAUAUUGCUAAGUUAACAAUGUACUGCCUUCCAGUACAAUGAACUUCAUAAAUAGUUUGUCUAGCCGAUAGUGGCUCACAAUUGUUAGCCCUUUUUCUUUUUAACUUUGCUUGCACUUUAGAGCAUAGUGUACCAGGUUGUUUUUUGAUAUAUUGUCUCUUCACUUGAAAUCUUGUCAUCACUUUCCUUCUAAUAUUCUCCAUCAAAUCAAUAAUUGGUAGUUUAUUUCUAUCUAGUAUUGCUCGAUGCCUCACAUAUAUUAUUACAUGAAAAGAUCACACUUAAUAUCAGGUAUGAAAUGAGAUUUUGUCUACUUUCUUAGCCUUUAUAAGUGAAUCAUUUGCAGCUACAUUUAUAUCCUUAAUUUUCUACAUGUUUUUUUUUCCAAUCUUACAUAAUGUAAGAUGUACCUACCUCCUAAAGUAAAUCUUUCAAUACUUUGCUUUUAAAUUGUUCUUUGAAGUUAUUGUAUAUAUGGUGCACAUAAAACCUAUGGUCCACUCCUUGAAGUGGGCCAUCAAAAACCUCUAUCAGACCCAAACACAUUUAGUAACAAAGUAAAUAAAAGUUAGUAGACUACAAUUAAUUCAUUACGUUAAAUGGUAAUUCAUUAUUGUGUUGAAUGAAAUAUUUAACAAAUAAGAACUAACUAACAAACUUCUUACCUUUCGUCUAUCAAAUAUGAAAGUCCAUUCAUAAGCCUCUGCUGGUCCAAUGGCUUGUAGCACAUUAGUCAAAAAUGAACUCCAUGAAUCCUUCAGUUCAGCUUCUACAACAAUAGCCACAAUUGAAAACAUCUAGUUAUUUCCAUCUCUACCAAUAGCACUAAUAAGUUGUCUACCAAAUGCUCCCUUUAGAAAACAGUCAUACAUACCAAUGAUAGGCCUACAGCCUUCCUUCAAUUCUUUUAUUUAAGAAUCAUAUGAUACAAAGAUUUCUAAAACACUCGGACUAACUCAAGAUGAGGCCUUUCCACUUGUGAAAAAGUGCUUCAUGAAUUCGAUACCUUAAUGAUAUUGUAAUAAUCUCACAAUUUUAUGUACUGCUCUCUUUAUGAUCCCUCUAUAACCUCAUUUGCCUUUCUUUUAUAUAUUUGGUUCUAAGAGACAUCAAUACACAGCUCAUUCCUCUCUAUCUUCUUCAUUGUUGAUGUCCUUCAUGUAGGAUCAUAUCUUAAUGCUCCAAACAUUUACUUGCAAUCCGUGAUGAAGUAGCUUGAUAGUUUUCGAAUUGCCUACCACACUUUUACUCAGGCUACAAAGAUUUAUUUGAAAACAUUCCUCAUAUGCAUUCUAAGAUGCAUGCACCCUCCAUUCGCUUUUUUUUCUAUGAUCGUGGUAUAUUUUUUACACUUCAUAGUAAACUACAUCACCAUCAUUAUCGUAACAAAAUGACAAAAAAUAGAUUAGAAAAAUAAUGUAAGAAAAUAAAAGAAAAAAAUACACUGAAAUUUAUGUGGUUUGGCUAGUAGCCUAUGUCCGCUGAUGAAAACGAAGUGAAGACUUUUAUUAAUGUUGAAAGUGGAGUACAAAGUUGAUCUCUUUAUGAAAAACACAGCACCAAAUUCACGCAGAGUGGUAUAUGACAAGUGGCCAAGAACAUAAAACCAAGAAACUAGUCUAUAUGGAAGAGCUCUAACAUACAAUCGAAUAGGAUUUCACGACCGCCUGGCUCGACUGUAACUUCACCAUGUACGAACCUCUACUACAACUCCCAGCCUUACUCCAGAGCACAUGACACCUUGGCUCUCUUAAUUAAUUUUCUAAUGUGGAUUUAAAUAGAGCAUGGCAUCUUCUAAUGAUGUCGAAGCUCGUUUAGAUAAUGCACUUGUGUAGGAACCUACGUGAUGCGAUGGAUAAAAAUUUAAAGAAAAAAAAUCAUAGAAUACAAAAUGUGCAAAGAGAUUUACUAUUUACCAACCGAAAAAAAAGAGAGAAGAGGAGAUUUACCAUUUACGCGAUGAAAGUCAGACGAAUUUGAGUUCUCGAUCUCGUCACGACGUCUAUUGAGGCCUCGAAGUGCGUGGUGUCGAAGGCGAUAGAGGCGAACCCUAAGGUUACGACGGUAUUGCGGCAAUCGAGAAUAGAGAUGUCGUUGAUCUUAGUGAUGUUCUGGUUUACCUUCUUCCAAGUGACAUCGACGAUGACAAUCGCCUCUCAAAAUGUGAGGAGCAAUGGUGGAGGCAGUGGAGCUGUCAUGGUGCUUCAACAUUAGUAAGGGAGAAUUAUCGAAACCUUAGGGAGGGGAAAGAUGUCACAGCCCGGGGUCCUUUUACAAGUCCUUUUCAAGAAAACACAAGCGGAAAAUGUGUAAUAAGUUUAUUUUUUAAAACCCUUUGAGAAUACUCCGAGACAUGUACAGACCCGCCACAUGGACAGAGGAUCCCCCGUUCAAAAAGACAGAGUCUCCCCUAUACAUACACGGCAUAGAACGAGCAUACAAAAAUCAACUACACCACAACAAAAAAGAAUACCACUAUAAACAAGGAGAAAAUUGCAGAAACUGAUAUUUCAGAUAAAAAUUCAACAAAUCUAAUAACUCAAACUAUCACUCUAAUAUCAUGAAUAAUCAGUAGAUACUAACUAAGAGUUAUGCCAACAGAAACUAAACUAAAAUAAGUACAUCAAUAAAUAAGUCCAUAAAAGUCCACGAGGGAAACAAUCCAGGACCUUGCUAUAUGGAGCCGUCCUCACGCAUCGUCCCGACCUUUAUCGCCCGAGCUACCUGAAAAAUAGUGGGGGGUGAGAACAUGUAAACAUGUCUUCCCCUCCAAGUGGAUACCGCAAGCCGACGAAGGCAAGCUGUACACACCGGCAGACGGAAGAGAUAACAACAGUAAUAGCAAGUAGUCAGAUAUAACAACAAACAAUAACUACCGAUAGGCACAAAAGGAGCUACUACUGUACGACUAAAUAGUAAAGAAAUGAACAACUGGAAUCGACAAUCUCUAUGAUAAGAAACCGCUACUGUAAAGUAAAGAUGGAGGAAUGCCCAUGCAGCAACUAAAAACUAAUAGUACCAAUAUACCUAAUCAACAGCUAUAUUGGUAUAAAGACCUCAGGCUAGUGCCACACUGCUCUGAAUGGCGUAUAACCCUAGUAUAAGCUCCUGAAUGGCGUAAAGACCCAUAUUGGUGUAAAGACCUCAGGCUAGUGCUACACUGCUCUGAAUGGCGUAUAACCCUAGUAUAAGCUCCUGAAUGGCGUAAAGACCCAUAUUGGUGUAAAGACCUCAUGCUAGUGCCACACUGCUCUAAAUGGCAUAUAACCCCAGCAUAAGCUCCUAGAUCUGAAAGACAUAUAACCCUAGCAUAAGCUCCUGGGUCUAAAAGGCAUAUAACCCUAGCAUAAGCUCCUAGGUCUCACAAGUUGGCACUCACAACCACUUUUCUGAAAAAAAACACUCUCUUGCUGUGGAUCAGAUCAUUAGUGUUCGUGAAAUGCGUAUGAGCUGUGGCGAUCGAUAUUAUAUACUCAAUGGCCAACGAUGGCGAAAAGCUGGAAGAAUGAUCACAACCAUGUCUGACCAAACCAGGUCAAAUAUUUUCGAAGGAAUGUCACAAUGUCACUGACCUAUCAAGUCUAUAAAGCCAUGUCACCAAGUACAAAAUGCCAUCCAUAAUAAGGUCAUGCAAUGAUAAUCAGUCUCUGGAAUGCUACUCUACUACUAGAUCAAACGUGAUACUGUAAAACGAAAUAACCAUAGAGUAGACUAACAAGAACCGAGUACUAUGCAGGAUACUCAACAUAUAAUCAUGAUACCGUAAGACAAGGCAACCGUAGAGUAGAUGUCAUGCCCCGGGACCCGGCAUAGGCCCACCCGGUGCGUGCUCAGACACGGCAUAUGUCAAUAGAUAUAAGGCGUCUACACAAUAGCGAUAAGUGAACAAGAAAUAGAGAGUAUCUAGAGAUAUUAGAGUAAGUAUACAGCUAAAUUCUAUCAACAAGUAGAAUCAAAGGUAACUAAAUCACUAAAGUAAAACAUAGAUUAAUACAUCAUAAAUCUCAAGAUACAUAUAAGGGGUGGUCUCUACAAAAAGGUACAAAUCUCUCAACCUCUCCUAAAAAGAAAAAAAAGAGAGGUGGACCACCUAUCGACGAAUCCCUCGCUAGCUAGCUCGAGGCGCUUCCUUUCCCGCGAUCCCGAGCCUCACCCGGAGUGGAAGGCUCUAAAAGAAAACAUAAAACAGAGGGCGUGAGAAUUAUAAUUUAUAGUUCCCAGUGAGCAAUUACUAACCUGAGCAAAGUGCGCUACUAGGCCCAAAAAGAGAGCAGAUAUGAAUAAUUGAAAAUAACUGCGGUAAUGAAAGCAUAUAAUGCAGUGCUAUCUACUAUGCUACAAGUAUACAUGAUGUCAACAUGGUGUACAUCUAUUCUAUCAUGAUUCCAAUAUGCCAAUACAUAACAAUUAUACUCUAUCAUGGCUACCAAGUAUACUAUGAUGCAACAAGUAAUACUAUCAAGUAUACUACGUGUCCCAAAGUCCAAUAAUCCAACUACUCUAUGCUAUCAAGUAGUGAUUGUCAUAAUAUUGAUUAAUGUUCUCGUUCAAUCUCAUUUAGGACCUACACAUGUGUAGUCCAGUUUGUGCCGCCUAGCUGCCUGUGGUAGCCCAUCAUUCCACGCUAAGAAUGAGUCUGUCCCACACGACCCUACAGGCGUCUCGCCGCCUAGCUGCCCAUGGUAGCUCAUCAUCCCACGCUGGAAUGAGGCUGUCCUACGCGACCCUACAGGUGUCUCAAUCCCGCACGCACGAACUGCGUCGCAAAGGCUAACUCCGGAGUGCCGGCUUGUAGGGAGCCACCCUCACAAGCAUGUACGAAUGAGCACAAAUGGCAAGUAAGCAUAGUCAUCAUCUCACGGAUCUCAUCAUCAUGUCUCUAACAUGGAAAUACUUACUAGCAACCCCAAGGGUCUAGUCCAAUGUCCAAUUGCGCAAGUGAAGGCUUAACCAUUCAUUAAGUUCGAUGUCUCUAUAUGACAUUAUACCUCACUAUGUCCAAAUCCUGUUCCAACACUAAUGUCACUUUAUGACAAUAGGUUUACCAAGUCCAUUCAUAUUCUAAGCUCAAUGCCGCUUUAUGACAUUAGCUUACUAAGUCCAUACAUAUGCUGAGCCCAAUGCCGCUUUAUGACAUUAGCUCAUUCCUAUGCUAAGCAUGAGUUCUAAGCCCAAGAGUGCAAUGUACUCAUCAUUUUCACUAAAUGAAACAUGAUCCCAAACCAAGUAUAAGAAUGCUAACCAUAGGCCCCAAGCCCAACAUGAAAACUCUCUACUAUAUAGAGGUCCAAUAUGCAUUUUCAUUUUCAUUGUAUAUAACAUGUGCAUUUUAAGUAUUCUAAAAUUCUCAAAUAUUCUAUCUAACAAGAAUAUGCAUGCAUUUUCAUUUUACGAUAAGUAAGAACCAUCAUAGGGGAGAUUUAUCCUAUUUUGGUGAGGCCAAACCCACCAAGUCCUUUCGAAACCCUUCAUUUCGUCGAAGGAAGGUGCCCACAAGCCUUCUAGCUCCCUAUAGGUUAGACUAGGAGUGUUAUACGAACAUUACGAAUAACACAUAGGUUAAAUAUUAACCAACUCAACAAAAUGGCCAAAACUCACCUAUAGUGUAGAAAAUUCCUCUCAAGCUCCAAAUGGGAGCUAGAACCCUUCCAAUCCCACCUAGAGGAAGGUUCUAAUCCAAUCAAUUGAGCUCCAAAAGCCCUAGAUCAAAAAUUUCCAAAUUAAACCCUAAUUUCACAUUUCUAGGGUUUCCAAGCAAAAACUCAUGAAACACAAGAUCAAGAGAGGGGGAGUAAGAAACCAACCUCUUUAGAGCUCCCAAAGACCCAAGAGACCAGCUAGGGUUGAUGUUCUCUCCUUCCACGAGCUCCAACCACGAGCUCAAGGGUUCUCCAAUGGUGUAGGUUGCACCAAGAAGUAAAAGAGAGCAAAAAGGAAGGUUAAAACCUCAAAAUUCCCUCAUAAAUCAAAGAAAAUCAAAGAGGAGGGAUAGAGGACUCCCUUAUCUUCUCUUCCCUGCUUCCCAGCUCAGAGAACACCAAGGAGGGCGUGGGGUUAUUUGUAGUAAUGCUACAAUUCCAAAAACACCCUUUAAAAACAUCCAGAUUGCAGUCUGGCAAAGUGUACCGGUACACGAAAAAGUGUACCUGUACAAAACCCCCGAACACACAAACCCGAGGCUCGGGUUGGCUGAAAAUCACAUUUGUAUCGGUACAACCAUCAAGGUAUACCGGUACAAAACCUAUUCCGGUACAACCAUCAAGGUUGUACCGGUACACAGCCCUGCAAGAUGCAACCCGAGAGCAGCCUAAGUCCUCCACUUUGGUGACCUUAGCGCUACUUUAAAUAUCUCAAUUCUCAGGAUACGAGCCAUAGGUCGGAACACUGUCAACGAUCCUCCAGAAUAUCUAAAAAAACUCGGAACACUGAUCAAACACUCGAACCCCGCAAUUUGCAAAAGUCCAGUAUGUUACAGUAGAUCAAUGAAUACUUAAUGUCGUGCAAGAUAUUCAAUAUACGUGCAUGAUAACAUAGGCAAUCAUAAGAGAGAAGAAAGGGAAGAGGUCACCGAGCGUAUGCCUCUGAACCGACUUCGGAUCGAAGUACCCACCUGUCACAAUCGCGUCUAAAUCCUGGACGUGCAUGAAGUCAACCGGACUUACGAUGGGUCCACCGAGUCAGAUACAAACCCUUACUGACUCAACGAAAGAACUCACACAAAUCCCACAUCUCGAGACUCAGUUUUCCAAUGAUCGAUCUCUGCAAACCGUCGGAAACGUCCCGAAAUUGCACCGGGACGUCCCCGGGACCCAUAGAAAGUUCAAGAAGGCACCGACUCGCGCCAGGAGUUAAACGCUACCCCGAAACACACACAUUUGGGUGUUUCGACAGCAAACAUUAAGUCCUACGCCAAAACGCUUAUCGUCGGAUAACUAUUUCAAUUCGGGUUUCCGUCAGCCACCCGACGUCUCUGGACACUUGAUGCAGCUUAGAUGACCAGCCAACAAGGCUCAGUGGUAAAAACCCAGUGCAUCCUAGAGGCACGGGAAGAAUCCUAAGCCAAAACCACAUUCCAUCAGCAGAUUUCGCCGAAAAAUUCACCGGAACCGAUUUUCGGCCUCCGUGAGGGGUAACGAACCUUGGACAACUAGUCCAAGGGUCACCCACCACACAUACACGCUGCGAACAGUAGCUACCCGCGCAACAAUUGCGUAAAAACCCUACCACUAAAUAUUAUUACAUUUUAUAUUUAAAGUGGGAGGAAAAAUGAGUCGUUACCGCGAUCCGAGCAUUCCCGAGGUCGACCGAGGGCACCAGUUGACAGCCCUCGAUGAGGCAAAGGCCGUGCUUGCUGUCCGGAGCACAGCAAGCAAUCGAGGAACACGCAGGAACAGCCCGAACUUUAGCGAUCGAGGCGAAACGGGCACGAUGGAGGUGAAAACCCAAGAUCGAGUGCGAGAUGAGCACUGCGAUCAGGGCACUCUCAGGAUCGCGGUACUCCCCACCUUUGAGGAGGUCUGGAUGCGUCAAAACAGUGCGACGCUCGAAACCAGGGCAAAAACCGGCCAAGGAGAGGUUCGGAUUCACUCCGGUUGGCAGGGGGCUCCGGCGGCUCCGGCGUCAAAAUAGUGCGGCGGCGGCUGGGUGCGACCGGUAGGGAGGAGCCGGCGACGGGAGGCGGUCGGGGAGGCGGGCACUGAUGCCCUAGCCGCAAGAAACCAAAGGUGAGCCUGGCUUGGCUUCUCUGGCAACAGCGGCCAUGGGGUGGCACCCACCGGUGGCGGGGUCCCCAGGGGGCGCAAGGAGGGGAAGCGGGGCACCGGGAGAUGGCGGUGGCGGCUGGAGAAACUCAGCCCACGCAGGCUCGAGCUCAAGCUCGGGUGGCUCUUUGGCGGUAGCAGGGGCCGACGACAACAGUCCUCAGGGAUCAGAAGGAGGCGGCGGAAGGGGGCCCAGGGAGGCGGCAGUGGCGCGGAGGAAAGGUGGCUCCUCCAAGCCCGAGCCCACGAAAAUGAGAGGUCUGGCGAGCGCGGUGGCCUCGACAGUGCAUGAGGCCGUCGAAGAUGAGUCGCCGGAGAUGAGGCAGUGCAGGGAGGGCCCGAGGGAGUGGCACGGCUCUCCUUGCAAAUCGAGUUCACAAGGAAGAAGAAAGGGAGAGAGUGAAAGAGAAAAAGAUGAAGAGAUGGAGAGGCUGAGGGGCUCCUCGUCGGCCGAGCAGUCGCCGAUGCCGGUGAGGCAUAGGGGGAAGGUGGCAGUCAUGCUCGAAGCCUAGAACGUCUAGGGUUAGGGUUUCCCGCCUACAAUUUCACACACACAGCCAUAUAUAUAUGUAUAUUGUAUAUAUGUAUAUAGAAUUUGCAUUUAGGCCCCUCCAAAUUCAUACAAUUGGAGUGAAAACCCUGCCAACAUGCAACAUUUGCACAGUAGCACCAUUCCGAGGAGUUUCAAACGAUUUUAUACAUCAAAUAACAUCAUUUCUCACAAAGAGAUCCCUCGAUAAAGUCUCUCUCUCUCUCUCAACUUUGAGUCUGUGUUGUUUUGCGCAGAAGUGUUAGAAUUCUAUGAGACCUAUAUCAGCGCGUUCCCCUCGGAGUAUACAUUAUUUGAACCCAUCCACUCUAAGAAACUCCAACAUUUCACAAAUAAAAUGAUAGCUUCUACUGGAAGUGCUCUAUUUCUACAAAUCGCUAAUAUUGCAAUUUAACCCUCCAAACUCAAAAUUCCUUUUCAAUAAUUCACCAGUGCGAAUAAUUCGCACAAUUGUACCUACCCUUUGAGUUUCGUGCAGUUCGGUACAUGAAAUGUCGUACCUUUUCCAUAAAAAUCCAAUUUCGCCAAAAGGCCAAUAUGUGAUGAGAGCUUAUUUCUUGAGAACCAUGCAUCGAACGUAAACUCUACCUGCGCCAUUGGAUCCGGCAUAGUCAGAUCGUUGAAAAUGAGCUAUUGGAUCACUAGAAACGGAGUCCAGUAUGCGACAGAAGCCAUCUACACUCAACAACCCAUCCCGAAAAUGCGAGUUACUAUUCACUUUAAGUGAAAAGUAAUAAUCGCAUAAAAUUCUUAUUUUAAAUUAUUUUUUGCUGAAGUUUGACAGAUAGUUUUAAAAUUAAAAUACACAUGAUAACAUCUAAACGAAUGUCAAAUCUUCAUAGGAGAAAAUCUCAAUCCUCACAAAAGGGAAUUGGGGAGGCUGGGGGAUAGAGCAGUUGGUGAUAGUAUUGGCAUCAUCACUGUCCUUGUCGAGGGCACGUAAGACGAGGUGAAGGCGGCAGUCGAAAGGUUCCGAGUAGGGAAAGAAAGAGGGAAGGAGAGGGUGGAAGGAAUGAAGGGGUGGAACAAUAGAAUGGAGAAGAAGGUUGAGCCAUUAAGCAAAUAAAAAAUAUUAAUUGGAGAAAAAAGAUGAAACAACAAGAAAAAAAGUGAAAAUUGAAAAAAUAUUAAUUGGGUAGGAAAGAUGAAAGAGUUGGGAAAGAAGAGAAAAUAGAAAAAAUAUUAGUUGGGGAGGAUUAGCACUAUAGUCCUUCCUACUAUUUAUACCUUAAUUCUCACGAAUUAUUGACACUGUUUUGCAAACUAUAAAUGUAACAUCAUAUAUACAUUUUUGUUCCAAUGCUAUAAUUUAAUAGUUUUGUAUUGAUAGCUUAGUGACUUUAUUGUAAUAUACCGAAAUUUUCGGUUUACAAUGCUAACUUUGAUCUGGGUGAGCAAAGAGAAGUUUGAGUUGGAUGUGCAUUAUUCCAGAGUAAUUUUGGAUGCGUGGGAAUAACUUCUGGAGGUAUUUGAGUGUUUCGGUGCAAAUCGAGCGCGAAACGAAAUCAAAAGAGAAGUUCUGAAAGCAAGGCUAGCUUUGAUCAAAUUGAUCAAAAUAAUGCUAAAAUAUAAAUUAGUUAGUCCCCAAGUUAAAUUGGUGUUGUGGUCAUAGUUAGUGGCAUGUGUUGAAAGUGUUUAGAGGUGCUAGAAUGAAGUUGACGCGAGAAAAUGACUUGGUAGUAAUGCUGCCAAGUGCAGAUUUUGUACUAAAAAGCUGCAGGGACUAAUCUGCAAAAGCAGAAUUUUUAUUUUUUAGGGGGUUUAAGUGCAAUAGCUGCUGCUGCUGCUACUGCUACUGCUAAAUGCUUCUGCUACUGCUGAUUGCAGCUGCUACUGCUACUGCUGCUGCUAAAAAUUGCUGCUGCUGCCAGCUGCUGUCAAGUGCAGAGACUGUUUUGUAAACUGCAGGGACUGUUUUGUAAAAACUGCAAAUUCAGCUUUGUGGAGGGGUUUAUUUGAAGUUGUUUGAAUUUAUCUAUUGACCCAGCACCCUCCACCAGCUGUACGUACAGGGAAUCUCAUCUCCUCAGCCUUUCUUCUUAUCUCUUUUUUUCUCUCUCUAGAAUCUGCCAUAGGUGGUUUUGAAGGAGCUUCUUAGUGGAGUCGAUACUUUGAGCUGAAAGGAAGGCUUUUGAGCAGGAAAUUGGUUGUUGGAGAGGAAAACCAAGGUAAGGUUGAUGUAAAUUUUGGUUUCGGGUUAGAUUAAUUACUUUAGAAAGGGAUCUAAGUUAUGAAUUUUGGGUUGUUAAUGAUUUAGUUACCAUGAAUGGACCUAGAAGUAUACUAUGGACAGCAUGUGUAUACUACAAGGCUGUUACUUGCUAGGUUUUGUUGUGUUUAAUAUAAAGAAGUAGGAAAUCUGAAGUAGAUGAGUCCCAAUUCCUGGUUAGAGUUGAAUUUUUUGCCUUAGGAAGAAUCUAAUUUGGAAUUCCAUGGUUGUUAAAGCUUGUAAAAGCUUAGAAACUGCAUCAUGGACAGCCUACAUGAGAGGUAUUGACUAGAGAUGGAACUUGAUGAGAACUUAUGCUAUUCCUAGUUUGAGGGUUAUGUAUUUACAUUCUAAAGAGGUAUAAGUUGCAGAUUUGAACAUUGGAACCCCUAAAACCAUGAAGAAGCUUAGGGAACUUUGUAUUGGCAGCAUAUAUGUAUAUAUAUAUAUAUACAUGUGAAUAGUUUGUUAGGAUAAAAUCUGAGGUAGAUUAAUCCUAAAUCCUGGUUAGGAGUGAUGCUAUUUACUUGUAAAGGAAUGGAACAAUAGAUUUAUUGAUUGCUAGAGUUUCUAGUUGCUAUGAAACCUAAGAGAUAAGCUUAAUGUCAAGCUAUGUAUUGAGUAAUAUACAUAUGAGCUGCUGAUUAAAAGUGAAACCAGAGAUAAAUUGAUCAUGUGCCCUGGUUUGAAUGAUGUUAGUUACUCAAUAAACAGGUUGAACAAAGGCUUUUCUUGAGUACUAGUAAUUGUGGUUUCCAUGAAAGUUUAGAAAGAUCAUAUGUUGACAAUAUAUAUGUGAAAUUGGGUUAUAUAUGUGCAAAUUGUAGGAAUGAUGUUAUAGUUUGGGUUUGAUAUUUUGUAUUCCUUUGUGAAGGAAAGUUCGACGUGUUCGGAAGCUCGAAUUGACAUUCCGACGGACCUACGAUGUGCUAAUUAGGAAAAGCCUUGUUUUGCUUGCGUUUGCGUUGAGUCACGAGGAAUAGGCGCUUGUAAAUUUUGAAGCUCUAGUUCUAGCAUUUUGGCAUCCCUAUAAGGUGGGUGGUGCUAUCCGGAAUCUUCGAAUCCCUCUUUAUGUCUAUGUUGCCUUGUUGAGCAUACAUAUAUAUGAAUUAUAUUGUAUUCAUGCAUUAUAGGGGAAAGGUCAUUAUGUGAAUAUGAAUUGAGUAAUUGAGCAUGUUCAAUGUAAAGAACUUAUGGACAAUAGAUUACGAACAUAGAAAACCCUAUGAAUGUGUGAAUUGGUAAUGGACUAUGACGAUAGUAAACUUGGUGACAUUAUAACUAGAGGAAUUGGUUAGCAUCGGGAUUUGGAACUGUAAACCUAGCAUAAAGAGCUAGUUAAAGUUUAAAGUGUGGCAUUAUUAGUCGGUGGAUUCUCUAUAUGAGGAUUAGAUCAUACUCACAUUAGUCUAAUGCUCGAGGAAGGUCGCUCCUCCUUGGGCAAUGAGCUCCGAAGUGGUCAUCAACUGGGUUGGGAGCAGGAGUCUCCCCAGUAGACUGUCCCGUCGGGAUGUAGCUUGCAUAUCCCUAAUAGUAGGGAUUUAAUUGGUGAGUUGCAGUUAAUUAUAGGGUUAACUGAAUUGAUUGGGUAAUGGUAUUGGUAUUAAAAGCAUGCAUGCAUAAACUCCAUGAGUUAUAUAUUGUUCUUUCCAGCUUUGUACAGGCAUUGUAGUAGUUACAUGAUAUAGUUGGUUACUAUCUGUUCUCUUUUAUUGCCUACAUAUGCCUGAUUAGACCUAGUAGGUGAGUCGACGAGAUCGACGGCCGAACCUACUUGGAACUUUUAGUAGUUCUCACACUACUAACCAUGCAGGUCCUAGAGCGAGCAGAGCGGUCGAGGAUCGCGGCAAGGGCGUUGCACCUUAGUUAGUGGACUCCCGAGUAUAGCUAUGUACCAUUUUUGGCUUUCAUCUGAUAUAUAUGAUGAAAAGGAAAUCAUGUAAAAAUGUUGUACGAAAUGAGCAUGUAAUAUGUCGUAAGUAACUGAAUGUAAUAGUAUCCAGCUUUUGUAUUUUGUUUAAAGUUUUCAAGAUACAGUUAAUACAUGUUUAGUUAGCUUACUUUCACUUGUGAUGAUUGCUUGCCUUCGUGCAAGCCAUGUAUAUUGAAGUGUUAUCCUGUGUUAUUUCUUUCUUUAUACAUGUAAUUGUAAUUGUUGAGCCUUGGGCGGACAAGGGAGGUGCUGUCCGUUCGGCGUCUGUGCACGGGCCCGGAUCGAUCAAAUUGGCGAUAGCGGGACGUGACACUUUAUUGUACUAUGGUAUCAUUUUUUUAUUGAUUUUUGUCAACUUGAACUAAUAUAUAAUAUUGUAGGCACUUUACUGCAAAAGGAAAUUGAGCAAAUUAGUAAAAGAACAUUUUAAGUCAUUUGAAUGAAGCAAGAAAAACAAUAAUUUAUGAUUUACGACAUAUAUUGCUCUAUUAUAUUAUUUUCUUUUGUAACACUCCAAUAGUCCUAUAUUGGAUUGAAAAGGAUUCACAUGUUAGGUAUGUAAAGAUUAAGCACUCUUAUACUAGUAACUAGAGCUUACAGUUUUGGGUUUGUAGUUUGAGUUUAAUAAGUUGGAAAUGCUAGUGGAUUGAGUUAUUAUACGAUCCUUCCUUUGAAUGAUACUAGUUAAACAAGGGUUGCAAAUAGUUCGUGGACAAACAUAUGGAUGCCCAACAUCAACUAGGACUUGACAUAUGUUACUUUGUUCAAACACAACACCUUUCCUUUGAGGGUACUUUGAAAACUAUAGUUUUGGUGCGUUCCUAGGAAAACAUGUGGAUGUCCAACCCUAGCUAGGACUUUUCUAACUAGUAAAAGCAUAGCAAUAACUCCAAUAUUUUGUGGGUUGUGUUAUCUAUUUUCCAUGUUGUAGAUAAAGUUUAAUCAAUUAAGAUUCGACAUACUCACUAUGAUGGAUUGAGCCAACAAGCUCAAAUACGGAUUCCAUGCAUGAUAUAUAACUAACCCACUUUGUAAAUGGCCAUCAUGUCCGCCAUCUCAUACUACCACUUGCCUCACUAUUUGAUUGCACUACUUUGAUUAGGUUAAACCUUUGGUUAAUGAGUUUUGCCCAAUUAUCUUUAUGAAAUCUCAACUUUUAAACCUAAAAAAGCUUGUUUUAGAGUAGGUUGUAAAUUUGGGUCCAAGCUCAUCUCAAAGGUUAAUUGAUAGGUGCCCAACAUUAAAUACGCUUGCUAUGAAAAAUGUUUAGUAAGUAGUAAAAAGGAUAGAUCAAGAUUUAUUACAACACUCAAAUCAAGACAAACAUCAUCAAUUACCAUUAUUGUCGCAAUUUGAUGCUUCGCUUGAUAGCUAUAAACCUUAGAAGGUUUAUUUAUAAAGGUGUAGAUUUGGUACAUAACAUGUAUAGCAUAAGUUGUUUGCUGUUGAUAAAAAUUGUAAGGCUAUAAUUCAAAAAAAUUGUCAAAAUUAACUAGACUAGAUGAAAGUUGGAUUGUUAGCACUUUUGGUCAUAAUGUUUGUAGGAUAUUGUUGGCUUUUUAUGCCAUUCAGUAAUUAGUGAUAAAAAAUUGGCAUUUAGACAUUUUAUAGGUUUUGGCUUCUAUAUAUUGUUUGCAAAUUUGAAGUCGAAAAUGUACCAAAUUCCUUCUAGUGCGUUAACAUCAAGCAGACUAUGUCCUUGCAAUCACUUUUCCGUCUUCACUAUAUCUAUUGAGAAAGAAAGAUAGAAUCUAGAAUUCUCAUACUUUCCUAGAAGUACUAUAAUUUGACAAAUUAUCCAUAUUAUUGAAUGUGACAAUUUGGCAAAAAGUGGUCAUCUCUUGUUGACUUUUUAGUGAAGACCAUGCAGUCUUGCCUAACUAUUUGAGUCUGUACAUAUGACAUUAUUUGUGGUCUCUCUCUCCCUAUCCGUUCCCCCCUCUCUUUCUCUUUCUCUCUCUUUCCAUUUCUUCUCAAUUGGUUGGGUAAUUACAAAGUAUGCAAAUUUUGGACUUACAUUCUAACUUAAUAAAGGUAGAGCGAAGAAAAAAGGUCAUUGUAAAGUAGGAUAUAAUCUAUAUGAUAUAAAUUAUGUACAAGUUAGAUUUUGGUGUUCUGUGCCAGAGGAAAAGUUAAAUUCUUUCUAAACUUUUAAUUUACAAAUAAUACAUAGAAGCCAAAACCUAUAAUAUAGCAAAGGAACUAAUAAUGGAAAACCGAUAAUAUCCUACAAAUAUUUUGACCAAAACGCGCUAUGAAUCCAUCUUUCAUUUGCUACAAAUAAAUAUUGACAAGUUUUUUGAAUUCUAGGUUUGCAAUCUUUAUCGACAACAUGCAAGUCAUGCCAGGCAUUUUUAUGCAACCAAUUCACAACUUCAUAGAUUAAUAUCCUAUGAUUAUCGCUAAUAAGCAAAGUAUCAAAUUGUAAUAAUAAUGACAAAUUUACAACUGACAAAUGAAGCAUCAAAUUGUGAUAAUAAUUGCAAUUGAUGAUACUUAAUUGAUUAGAAUGUCCUAGUAAAAUUUUAUCUGUCUAUACUUUUCUUGACUCAGUAAACAUUCCAAUAAGAGAGUAGUCAAUAUUGGAUACCUGUCAAUUAACCUUUUGAAUAAGCUCAGAUCCAAGAACACAAUAUGCGCCAAACCAACUUCAAAUUCAAAAGUCUAGAUAUCUUCAAUAUAAUUGAGCUGAACUCAUACAAGCUAUGCUUUCAACUGGUCAAGGUGGUGCAAUCAAAUAUCAAGACAGGGUAGUACAAGACAACGAACAUCUAUCAAACUCACAAUGUGAGUGACAUAUGUCAUUUACUUAUGUGAUAUCCUACUUCCCAAGAGGGUCACCCAUUCUAUAACUACUAUAGCCCUAUUACAUUUAACCCUCUUAAACUCUUGGGCUUAGUCACUACCCAAAAUGUUGUAGCUAGGUUAAGAGGUUUAACCCUAUUAUCUAUUAUAUAUAGGAUAUUCUAAAUUCUAGGGGUGUCACAUUCCUUUCUUCUUUAAGCUCUGGCAUUCUUGUCAGGCUGGAGCACAUUCAUAAGCAUCGGGCAAUAUGAGAUUCGUCUCGCUAGCCUUAGCCAACCUUAUGGGGAGCCGCACUUCACCUACAGUAGUCAUCAGCUAAGGAGCUGCGUUCUUCCCAUUUGUGUAAUGCUUGCUUAGUCGAGACUUAUUUCACAUUUUUGGCUAGUGAUUAGCUUUGAUACUAACUACAAAACCCUAUUCCUAGGGAGGCCACCCAUCCCAAAACUACUCGUCCUAUUAUGCUUAACCCUCUUAACCUCUUGGGCUUAACCACCGCCAAAAUGCUACAACCAGGUUAAAAGGUUUAGCUCUAUUGUAUAUUAUGUAUAGGACUAUUUCAAAUCCUUGAGGUGUCACAACUUAAUCUAUAUUUAAGCUCAUUGGCUACAUCUGCCAUAGUCAGUGCGCUAAGCCUUAAUUCAUUUUAUUCUAAUGAGGUUGGGAAGCAGAUAACAUGGCCUGCAAAAUCUUUGAAUUCCAGGAAUGAGCCAGAACAAUAAUUUUUACCACAUCUUUUAAAUAAAGAAAGCUAUCGUAAUUGCAAAUGACUAGGGGUGGAAACGAGCCGAGCUCGAGCGAGCUUACCUCGGCUCAAAUUCGGCUUGAAAUUAAUUUCGAGUCUAAAUUUAAGUUCAAGCUUGGAUUGAAAUUAAUUCGAGCCGAGCUCGAGCAAGCCUAAUUUCAAGUCGAGCGAGCUCGAGCCCUAAACGAGCCGCUUGAAAUUCUCAACAUUAUACGAUCACUAGUUUAAUUUGUAUAGAACAUUAUCUAUAAUUUAAUUAAAAAAUAUGUCUAAUAGUUCAAAAUACAAAAUAAUUAUAUGAAAUAUAGUAUUAUAAUAUGAAAAAAAAUAAUUUAUGAGUUGAAUAUCUAAUUUUUUCAGCCUUACAUAUCUUUUCUUCUGCCAUCAUUCUCUAUAUUAUUCAUUUUCAUUUAUGCAAUCAAAAAUAAAUAAAUUAUAUAGAUAAAUAUUAGAUUAAACUAUCCAAUCAUAUAUAACUAAAAUUAAACUUUUAUAUGAAUAAUAAUUUUUUACUUUAAAAAUAUUCUGUAUAUUUUCUCAAGCAUACAAUUAAUAGCAAGGUAGGCAACGGCGGGCAUAUGAUGUUACUUGGUAACUUAGAGGGCUUCCGGCUUGGCCACUUAGGGUGAGAGAUAGAAAAAGAGAAAGAGAGAAACAUAUUGAAAAUUUAGAGCUCUAUGAAAGAAAGAAAGAAAAAAAGGAAAAAUAUAUAAAUUUAGUAGAAAUUUGCUCUUUUAUUUGUCUAUUGGGUUUGUUUUUAUGGGCCAACAACAUUGGUCCAAUUUUAACUAAACUCACAUUAUUCACUCAGGCUAUAUAUAAUUAAAAUAUAUUAUAUUUAUAUAGCAUAGUGUAGAACUACUAUACUAUCGAAAAUAUAGAGGAUUUGAUGUUUUUGAAUUUUUGACUCUUUGAUUAAAAAUUGUAUGGUUGGGAUGAUUGCGGUUUCUCCUAUGAUUAAAUAAUACUCUUAGGUACUGUUCGGUUCGGGUAAAAGUAAGAACUAGCUAUUACAGGGAUAUGUACAAAUAUGGGGAUAAGAAAAUAGUGUUUGGAUGAAAAUUGGGUUGUUCCCGGGGAUAAGAACAAUUUUAGGUAGUUUUAUAUAAAAAAUGGAGGUGUUGGUGGGGAUAACCGAGAAUUACUAUUCUCGGAUAAAAAAUUAGCGUUUGGGUACAAAAGGGGGAUAAUGGCCUAUUCCUAUCCCUAUCCCCUAACCAAACGCUGUCUUAGGAUUGAGUGGUCCCUACAAGGUAAUAAUAAUAUUAAUCCAAAGAUAAGAAACGAUUAAAGGGAUUGAUCUAAGAAUUAAAAAAUCGAAAGCACCAUAUCUCUAUACUUUCGAUAGCAUAGUAGCUCUACUAUAUAUAUAUUCGAGCUUUUCGAGCUUUUCGAGCCUAAUUCGAACGAGCCGAGUAAUACUCAAGCUCGGCUUGAAAUGAAUUUCGAGCCUUGUUUUUUGUUCAAGCUCGGCUCAUUUAAUUUCGAGUCGAGCUCGAGCGAGCCAAAUAUCGAGUCGAACGCGAGUCGAACGCGAGCCGGCUCGCUCAUUUGCCAGCCCUACAAAUGACAAGUCUCGACUGUGGUUGGAAAUCCAUAAUUUUUUCUAGGAACAAGUUGGAAUUCUAGUUUUCAUAGCAUCCUUUGAAGGAAUGAAUGUGUAACAAAUCAACUCACUUCUACCAGCAACUUAUUAGACUUAAAUCACCAAUCCAAAAUCUUAAACCCUAGUUGUAACAAUCCGAGCCACUAGCACUUAUAACUUGUUGGGCCUAAAUCACCGGCCCGAAAUGCUUAAACUCGGUUAUUUGUUAUAGUGUGCCCAUCACAUAUAAACCUCUUAUACUCUCUUUCCCACAUUAUUCAAUGUAGGACUAUUGGAGCAUUAUAUACUUUCCUCGUCAAGUGUGCCCAUCACAUGUAAACCUCUUAUACUCUCUUUCCCACAUUAUUCAAUGUAGGACUAUUGGAGCAUUAUAUACUUCCCUCGUUUUAGGCCCUAAAAUCCCGUCAAUCCAAUAACACACAUAGUCCAAGAUCACCAAGCUGUAAUGUGAGACCUACCUUAUACUUCUGAUUGAUGAACUGACUCUAAUACCAACUGUAAUGAUUCAAGCCACUAACACUAAUAACUUGUUGGUCCUAACUUCUUGGGCCUAGAAUAGUUCUAAGAUGGGUGAUGUAACACACUGGACCUGUGCAAAUUGCGAGGUUCGGGUGAUUGGAUGUGUUCCGAGCUUUUCCAUGCUUUGUGGAGGGUCGUAGAAGGUGUUCCGACCUAAAAAGUUUGAAUUCUGGAAUUUCAGCUAAGUCCUGAGAGUUUUACUCUCGGGGACCGGUCCCUACGGGAAGAGACCGGCCCCCGGCGAGGCAACCGGUCCCCCGGCGAGGCAACCGGUCCCUGGCGGGUGAGAUCGGUCCCCGAGCGCGUUUUCGCGGGGAGAGACCGGUCCCAUGCUGGGAGAGACCAGUUCCCGAGAGCAGGUUUUGCGGGAUGGACCUGAGAGACCGGUCCCAAGCAGGGAGAGACCGGUCCCUCUGGGCGAAAUCUGCCCAGUCCGGGCUUUGCACAGGUUGCAAAGUUGAGGGACUUUUCUGGAUUUUGUUACUCUAGAGGGCCUAUAUGGCCAUUUCACUUCCCUUUCUCCCUCAUUUCACCCUCCCACUUGCUUUUAGAGAGAGAAGGAGAAGAAGGAGGAGAAGGAAGGAGAAGGAGAGCUUGUUUGAGGACUUGGAGCUUCACCCUCACCCUCUCUUCUUCCUUUUGGUGGUUUGGAGCUUGAUGGUGGACCAAUCUUCAACCCUUGAGGAUUUUGAGCUUGGUUUGGAGCUUCCUAGAGGUUAGUUGCUUGUUUCUCCCUUUUAGACCUAGUUUUGGUGGAUUUUGGGAGGAGAAACCCUAGAAUGGAAAAUCUAUGGUUUAUUUGGGGCUUUUUGAUUAGAGGCUUUUUGAGCUAAUCUAAUUGGAUUAGAACCUUGGUUUAGGUUGCUUUGGAAGGGAUCUAGCUUCCAUUUGAGCUUUCGAAAGGGAUUUCUAUGCUAUAGGUGAGAUUUUGGCCCUUUUGCUUAGUAGGUUAAUGUUUGAGCUUGUAGUUGAUUGUAAGAUUUGUGUAACCUUUGUUUUUGUGCCUCUAUGGUACUAGGAGGCUAGCGGGCACCUUCGUCGGAGCUUACGAAGGGUUGCGUGAGUUUUAGUGGGUUUGACCUAGCCUACAAUAUGAGAAAUUCUCAUAUUUGGUGAUUUAUGUUUCGUAAAGUGAAAAUUCAUGCAUAAUCAUGUUAAAUGUAAUUAUUGUGAACUUUAGAAUGCUUAAUAUCCCUAUGUCGUGUAUAAUGAAUUUUCGGACCUCUAUAUAGUAGAGAGAGAGUUGCAUGUGAAGCUUGCACUAGCAUUGGGCAUUCUUAUGUUGGACUCGGGACCAUAUUUCUUACAAUGAAAUUGAGCAUUACUUCAUGCAUUUAAACCUAUAUCUAAUUGAGACAUAAGGAAUUUUAAUAAGCCUUAAGAGGCUUGGGGACUUGUACUACUUAAGAAUGAUUGGGUUAAUGCCAUAAAGGGGCAUUGAGCUUGGGUUAAAUGAGAACCUAGUACUAAUGUCAUGAGUGGAACCUAGAAUAAGAAAUGUGUUUAACUUAUAACAACGCUUAAGUGUCAUAAAGAGGCACUAAGUAUAGUGAGUGUUGGAACAUCACUUGAGACACUGAACUAGAUCUUCGGGAUGCUAGUGACUAUUACCAUGGUAGAGACAUGAGGAUUGGAUACUUGAGACGAUGACCUUGCUUGCUUGUCAUUUGUGCUCAUUCGCACAUGCUUGUGAGGGUCGCUCCCUACAAGCCGGCACUCCGGAGUUGGCCUACGCGACUUAUGCUCGCCCAUGCGGUAUGGAGAAGCCUACGGGGUCGGGAGGGAUAGACUCAUUUCCAGAGUGGAAAUGCUGGAGUUACCACCGACACUUAGGCGGCGCAAGCCGGACUACACUCGUGUAGGUCCUAAAACAAGUUUGGACAUAAACUCUUAAACAUGAAUCACUACUAGAUAAAUCAUAGUAGUUGGAUCACUUGGCAUAUUUAUAGUGUGGCUUGAGACUUUGGGACAUGUAGUAUACUUGAUAGAAUUGCUUUGCAUCUUAGUAUAUUUGGCAGUUAUGAUGAACAUAUUCCCCUUGUAUUGGCAUAUUCAAUCAUGAUAGCAUUGAUACACAUCAUGUUUACAUGUGGCAUAGUAGCAUAGCAUUUCAUACAUGCUUUCAAUUCAGCAAUUUAUUAUUGUCUAAUACUAUCGUUACUUACCCCUUUUCUUUGGGGCUAGUGGUGCAUUGUGCUGAGGUCAGUAAUUGCUCACUGGGAACUAUAAAUUAUAGUUCUCACGCCCUCUGUUUCUUGUUUUUAUUUCAGAGUCUUCCACUCCGGGCAAAGCUAGGGACCGAGGAAAGGGAAUCGCCACGAGCUAGCUUGUGAGUGAGGGACGUUCGAUAGGUGGUCCACCUCUUCUUUGUUUUCUUUUUCGGAGAGGAUGAGAGUUAUAUCUUGUAUAGAGACCACCCUUUUUGUAGUACUUUUGUGAUGACUCUUGUACUGACUUUAUCUUUUUGUUUAGUAGUUUACUUUCCCCUUUCUCUACUUAUUGUUAGUUGUUAGUUGUUAGUAGCUCUGAUAUCUCUAGUGACUUUAUUUCUUCUUACUUUCAUAUCUCUUUUGUGGUAGACGCCUUAUAUGUGCAGCCAUAUGGCGGGUCUGGGCACGCACCGGGCGGGCCUAUGCCGGGUCCCGGGGCGUGACAGGUGACCUCUCAAAAAAUGGGGCGUCACACUAGUUAUCACCAGAACAGACUUAAUCCUUAUAUACCUAAAUAUAAUCCACUUUUUAUUUAAUAUAGAACUAUUAAAUAGUUAGAAGAGAAAAUAAUAUAACAGAGCAAUGCAUACUAUAAUCAUGAAUUAUUGUUCUUCUUGCUUCUUUUAAAUGACGUGAAUAUUGUGCUCGUUUGCUAAUUGGCAUGUCUUCAAUUUGUGGUAGAGCACAUAAAUAUUGUAGAGAUUAGUUUAAGUUGACAAAAUAAGAAAAUGAUGCUAGAAUACAAUAUAGUCACUGCGGUAUCAAUUCAAGACUAUAAAAUUAUAUAGGGAAAAUAAAAAUGUAAAUAUAAUAGUGCAUUUCAAUUUUUGAUCACAACUCUAUUAAUGAGUAAGAAUUAAGGAAUAGAAAUAUCAUAAGAUUUGUAUAAACUAAGAAGGUUUCAAUGCUGAUCAUUAUUAGUGAUUAUCAAUGGUACAACAUCUCUGCAUUUAAAAUUAUCUCUCAACUCGUUGAAAUGUGAAGGAACGAAAAAGUCAUGAUCUAAGCUCUAAGAAAUUGAGCUCCAUAAAAUGAGGAAAGAAAACUGAUAAAAGUGUGUUCCACAAAAUGAAGGGUGAAUAAUGAGAAGAAAUAAAAAUUAAGCAGUAAGAAAUUACUUCUGUUUAGUAAUAUUUAUAUACUAAGUUAGUAGAUCAUUAGAACAUUUUUAUUUGUUACUUUCUUUGAAAAAAAAUUAAAAUUUUAAAAAAAUUCAUAGCAAAACAUACUGGAGACAUCUGGCGAUGUUAAAGACUAUUUUACUAUUGUAAAUUUUUUUCUUAUGAGAAGUUAUAAGAAAAACACUAUUACAAUCCAGACCAAUAGUUUUCUCUCUAUAGCAAUUUUGGAAAAUACAAAUUCGAUCUUCUACUUAUGGAUCAUAAAAUUCUCUCUUCGCUUAGUGUUUAUUCUUUGCCAAAUAUUCUAUUAGAGAAGACUAUGAGAAGACUACCACGGAAAAUAGAAAUAGCAGAACGAUCAAAUAGGCAUAUAAGAAAACAUUGAGUAAUAGCCUAGAAUUUGAUUCCUUUGCUAACUUACCAAAUAUCUUAGUUUUGGUACUUGGUAAUUUGUAUCAUAAAUCUCUCCAAAUCAAAACCAAAAAUAGAAUAAAAGUCAAUGAAUUUCUAAAUAAAAAAAGUGACUAAAGGAAAAUCUAUAGUAAGCAAUAGUACUAGCACAUAAACUCUCUUGACAUUAUAAUCAAAUCCUAACAUUCAACCCAUUUAUUUUCUAUAUAGAUGAUCACUAACACUUUGCAAGUUGCUGAAGGACCGAUGAACAAUUUUGUUGUGUGUGUUUGGGGAGGGNGGUAGGGAGGGGGGAGGGGGAUGAGAACGGGAGAGAGAGGGUGAGGGAAGAGAUGAAGAGCGAAAUAAAGACGAAAAAGUCCAUAAAUGAGAUGCACUUCAUGUUUGAUGUCAUAUGCUUUAUAUACCAAUGAAGCAGCUCCAAUAUAGAAAUGUAUAUAAAUUAUUAUUUUUACUUUUAUGUGCAUACAGUACUCACUACUAAUUAAAAUAGUACAACAAUUUUGGACAGUAAAUUGGAGCAGGACUGCUGUGCUCUCAGGAGCACGGAGGCCUCCGUGCUCCUGAGCCGUUUUCGAUGAUGGAAUUUUCGAAUCGACAAUCGGCUCCGUUAGACUUGAUCUAACGUAUUUGAAGUUUCUAGAAAAUAAUUUUUGUGAUUUUUCGAUAUCAUUUACCUAGCAAUUGAAAGUAUUCAAAAUCAAUAAUUUUUAACGGCUGAAAAUAAAAAUCUUAUAAAAAGUGGUGAUAUAGUACUAAAAUUUUCGAUCAAAAAUAUUGAUCUUAUUGUAGAUAGUAUAAAGAAUUUUGUAUCAAAAUUUCAUCUGAUUUGAAUACUUCUACACCGUUAAACUUGAAAAUGGCAGAUAUUAACCAUUAAAAAUUAUUGAUUUUGAAUCCUUUCGAUCACUAUGUAAAUUAUAUCAAAAAAUCGUAAAAAUUAUUUUCAAAAAAUUUCAAAUAUGUUAGAUCAAGUCUAACGGAGCCGAUUGUUGAUUCAAAAAUUUCAUCAUCGAAAUGCUGACAAAGUUGGUGUUGUGCUUUAAACGCUGACAAAGUUGCCCCAAGUUAGAAAGGUUUAUAAUUUUUUUUUCCAUGCAUGUACCACUCGUUACUGCUUAUUUAGACAGUACUGCAAAUUUGGAUAGUACUUUAUAUAUGUUUUGACUUGCUGGCAUUAAGAUGCUCAUAGAAGACUCUGGAAACGUGUAAUAUCUAGAAAUUUGAAUUUGAAUAUAUAUAUAUAUAGAGAGAGAGAGAGAGAGUGCGGCUAGGAUGCUUAUGGAAGUACGGAGGGCUCCGUGCUUCCACUUUGUUUUCGAUGUUCGGACUUUCGAAUCGACGAUCGGCUCCGUUAGACUGAUACUAGAGUAUUUGAAUAUCUAGAAAAUAAAUUUUACGUUUUUCGAUUAUCACGUGGCUCAAAAUCAAGCAGCUUGAAAAUAAAAAUCUUACAAAAUAUGAUAAUAUGACAUUAAAUUUUAGAUCAAAGUUAUUGAUCUUGUUUAUAUGGUAUAAAAUUUUUUAUCAAAAUUUCAUGUGAUUGGAUAUUUCUACACGUUAAACUUGAACCGGCUCACACACGGCUAUUAAAAUUAUUAAUUUUGAGCCCCUUCGAUCACUAGGCCAAAUGAUAUCGAAAAUAUACAAAAUUUAUUUUCUAGGUACUUCAAAUACUCUAGAUCAACUCUAACGGAGCCGAUCGUCGAUUGAAAGUCCGAACAUCGAAAAACAACUUGGAACACGAAGGGCUCCGUGCUUCCAUAAGCCAUACCAGCACCUCUCUCUCUCUCUCUCUCUCUCUCUCUCUCUCUCUCUCUACCUACUAUAUAUAUAUAUAUAAUAUCUCUCUCUNNNNNNNNNNNNNNNNNNNNNNNNNNNNNNNNNNNNNNNNNNNNNNNNNNNNNNNNNNNNNNNNNNNNNNNNNNNNNNNNNNNNNNNNNNNNNNNNNNNNUUAACGGUAUAAAGGAAUCGGAAUAAGUUGAAUUUUUGAUAGAAAAUUUUAUUCACUACUUAGAUAAAGAUCAAUAACUCUGAUCUUAACUUGAAGGAUCCAAUCAUCCAUUUUUAGGACGUCGUUCGAUUUCGACUGUUCAUUUUAUGCCCGCUUGAUGGACUUUAUUAUAAUUUCAAAAAAUUAUGAAAUUUAUUUUUUAAAAGUUUCAAAUGCUCUAGAUCAUAUUUAACGGAGUGGAUCGUCGAUUCGAAAGCUCCAUCAUUGAAAAAAAAACUUAUGAAUACGAAGAACUCUAUACUCAAAAGGCUCCAUUUGGUUCGGGAAUUAAUAGGAAUCAGUUAUACCGGAGAUAAAUACAAGUAUGGAUUUUUGUAAGACUUAACAAGGAUAUUUUUUUUGUUUGGAUGAAAAUGUGAGUAUAAGCUGGAACUAGAAAAAUUGCGUUUGGAUGGUUAUUGGGAAUAAGAGCAAUAGUUGUUAGUUAUAAAUAGAAAAUAAUAAUAUUAUCCCUAUAAUUGAAUUUAAAUUUUUAAAUUUUAAACUUAUAUUUUAAAUUGAAAAUUGAAAAUGUUAACUUUAAAUUUUAAAAAUUGAAAUUAAAAUUUAAAAUUGUAAUUUUAAAUAUCAAAUUUGAAAUUUAAGACGCAAAUUUGAAAUUUAAAUAAACAAACAUAAUCAUAUUUAAAAAUUAAAAUUAAAUUUAAAAAUAUAAAUUUAUAAUUAUAAUUAUUAAAUUUAAAUUUAAUAAUUAUAAAUUAUAAAAAUUUAAAUUUAAACUUGAAGAAAUAAUUCUCUACUCUCUCUCUUCUCUCUUUCUCUCUCUAGUGGUGUGGAAUCACCCGCUUAGUCAGGUAUUCUACGAACCUCGCUAAGGUGGGAAUAACAGUUCUCAUUUGGGUUGACUCUUUGUUUGGGUAGCCAAGAUGCCCGCUUAAUACCCAUCUUGCAUCCUAUUCCAACCAGGGUGUAAGAGUAUAGUAACCCGUAUCUCAUCUCUCUCAUCUCGUCUUUUAUAUAUUAUAUUAGUAAUAUAUAUAAUUAUAUAUAUAUUACAUAUCUAAGAGAGAGAGAGAGAGAGAAGAGUUUGGGCUAGAAUAUUACUAUCGAUCAAACGGCUCCGUUGGCGCACCCAUUUGUUUUCGAUGAUGGAGCUUCUAAAUUGACAAUCGGCACCGUUGAACAUGAUCUAUACCAUUUGAAGUGUUUAGAAAUCAAAUUUUAUAUAUUUUCGAUAUUGUUCUCUUAUCCAUCGAGUGGACACAAAAAUGAACGGCUGAAAAUGAAUAUUCUUUAAAAAAUGAUGAUAGGAGUCUUGUAAUCAAGAUCAAGAGUAUAAAUCUUGUUCUAAAUAGUUUAAAAAAUUUUCUAAUCAAAAUUUAAUUGAUUUUGAUAUCUUUACACCGUUAAACGAGAAAAUGUCUUAUAAUUAAAAUUGCAAAAUUUGAACCUUUGAUCAUUAGGCCAAUGAUGUCAAAAAGAUUUAAAAUUUGAUUUCUAAAUACUUUAAGUGGUAUAGAUCAUGUUCAACGGUGCCGAUCGUCGAUUUGGAGGCUCUAUCAUCGAAAAUAAAUGAGUGGCAAUAGAGCUCGUUUGCUAUUGAUAGUAUUCUAGCUCAACACUCUCUCUCUCUCUCUCUCUCUCUCUCUCUCUCUAUAUAUAUAUAUAUAUAUAUAUAUAUAUAUUUCUACAGCUCUAUAUAUUUCUACAGCUCUAAUUUGUAAAAAGGCACUGUUUCAGGCCCUAGGGCAUGACAUUUGCUCUCUCCAAUAAAAUUAAGUAAUUAAAUACUCAUACUUUUCCAAUUAAAUCAAAUUCAGUUAAAAUCUUAUCUCAUAAGAUAUUAUGAAUAUUUAAUUAUUCUCUAAUUCAAUUAGAGAUAAGUAUGAAUCUCUCUAAUAUUUAAUUAUAUUUUAUCUAAUUUUAUUCUUAUCCAAUAAGAUUAUGUACUAAAUAUUAAAUCUCAUUUAAAUAUUUUAUGAUUAAAUAUUAUUCACUAAUCCGAUUAGUGGUAAAUUUAACUUUUGUGUAUAAUUCUCAAACUAAUUAUGAAAUCCUAAUCUAAUUAGAACUAUCAGUUAUAACUGAUUUGAAUAAUUAAAUCUAAUUUAAUUAAGCAGCUCCUCUUAUGUGAACGGCUCUCAUCCAAACAAUUUAGGUGCACACAAUUCCUGAUGUGUCUGACUGCAUAGGUUCAUUACCAUUCGGCAAUGGAGUUCAACAUCAAAACUUUUUGAUAUUUAAUUAAAACUCUUCUAAUCGAUAAAUAAGAACAAUUCAAUUCGAAUCAUUCAUAUUUUCUCACCGUUCGUGAGUGACACCUAGCAGUAUAUCACGACAAUCCAGAAUUGUGAUGAAGAAUAAACCUUUUCGCUUACAGUUAUCGCGUGAUUAAUUUUUUCCAACGUACAAUGUCCUAAUCGAACUAAGGUCAUGGUUACUUGCCAAACCUUAUCCUUCGACCAUAUGACUAGAAUAUCUGAAAGCAACUCAAUAUGGUUACAUAGUUGGAAACUCUUUUCACAUACCACAUAUCCUGGCGAGAGAUUUUUUGAGUCUAAUUUGAUAGACUGUAUUGGAUGUUCUCCCUUAUCAUUGAGAGUGUUGGAUUUCUUAUUGCGCAUUCAUAUGGCUUCCCGCAUAAAUUACUAUAGCCAAUCAGUACCGAACAUAAACCCAUAUCUAGACGAGUCUAAGUAUCAGUACUGUCAAACGGUAGCAACCUAUACGUGAAACAACUAUAAUACCUCUGGUCUGAGGAGUACUUCACACAAAUGUAGCAAUGAACUUGUCAUUGGCGAGCAUGGAACCAUGUGACUGUUCAACUAAAUAGUCAUGCUCAGUGUACUUGUUCUCUAUCAAGCACUUGUAUAUUUGUUCUAAUGUCCCUACACUAGUGACUUGAGAUUCGUCAACUCAAUUAGAAACAUAGUAUACACCGGCCUAUCCAGAAUAACAUCGUCCAGACUAUUUAAAGAAUCUCAUACAGAAAAGUACAUAUCUCAAAUUUCUAACUCUUAAGAAUAUGUCUUUUCAAACAAAGACCCUAUGAACAAUUUAUGUUAAUAUUAUACUAUUAUACAAUAGACAUGAAUAGGUUAUAUGCCCUCAUAUUAUGAAUUAUAAAUGAUUACUACAUAAAUACCCUAAAGCUAGUGUCACCAGAUUGGCUUUUAGGCAUAUAACUAACAACAUAUGCAUACGCCCUUGUUAGGGUGUAAACGAGCCGAAUAAGGAGCCGAGCAGAUCGGGCUUAGUGUUUCAGCAUCGUUUAAUAAGAAAGGCCGAACACGAGCUGGCUCGUUAAAGUGUCGAGCCGAAAUUCAGCUCGUGUUUGGUCGUAAUAAGUAGCCAACACGAGCUAGCUCACGAGCUGGCCAACGAACAUAAGUUAAAAAGAUUAGAUUAAAUAUAUAUAAAAAAUAAAUUAUAAAUAUUAUCCUUUAGACUUUAUCUGAUAGUUGGCACGUUUUACAUUAGAUGAAGUACUUUUUUAGUUGAAGCUCUGCCUUUAUUUUUUAUUUUGUAAAAAUUAAAUAAUAAAAAUAUAUAUUAUAUAUAAUUAUUUAUUUAUAUAUAUAAAUAUAAAUUAAAUAAAUUAUAUAAAUAUAAAAUAUAUAUAUUCGAGCUGUUAUCGAGCUGAAGACGAGCGAGCUGACUCCAGCUUGUGUUCGGCUCGUUUAUUAAACAAGCCGAAAAAUUUAGCUCAUGUUCGGCUCGUUUACUAAACGAGUGAUUCGAUCUCGAGCUCAUUUCGAGCCAAACACAAGCUGACUCAUGAACGGCGAGCUGGAUUGCCACCCCUACUGCUUGUCAUGCAGCUCUACUCGGUUAUGAAUGAGUAACGAGAAUUUGAUUCAAGUACUUUCAUAAUGGCACAUAAUUGUCAUUGUUAUACUGCAAUAUGUCCGUUGAAGAGUUAUGAACUGAAAAGAAUUAACAAAUUAAAAUUAAUGGCAUAACAACGACACAAUUUUCUACUCCCUUGUAGCAGUGGGUUCCUCGUUAAUAAGAAUGGUGGGAGCAGAAAGGAGCGGAUUGGCAACAGAAGGAUUUACCAAUAAGACAUUUUUUAAAGAAGCCCAUUAAGUCUCCUUAUCCUAAAAAUAAUAAUAAAGCUUCAAACAAUAAGAUUCAGGUUUACUGCGGUACUCUGCGGUCGACCGCCUUUCACGAAUGAUUGACCAAUUGCUAACUCGAGGGUUGUCUAUCCUUGAUUAUCUUAUCCAGUGAACUGUCAAGAAGCUUAUAUCGAUUGUAUGAUAUCACGAGGCUUAAAACCUCAGGUCGGACAUUGCUGAACUGCAUCCAGAAGUAGGGCGUUAUCUUCUCUGAGUGUCCCCAACCACUAAAGGGUAAAGCUAUUCAGAAUAGGACAAUGUGUGAAUGAGGGAAAGAAGGAAAAGAAGAAGCAUCUCAAGCACGAUUUUUUUAUCUUCAGUUUCUCGUCGAUUUGUUUUUCGGCUCGUCGCCAACUUUGCCUUUACUUAAGUGCUCUAUUGCAUAACUCUUCCCUUGAUGACACCGAGCGUUGUAGAUAAGUAUUAGGUGGCUAGGUUGAGGAGUAAGGGAUAGGUAGUGAGACAAGGAAAAGGGUAGAAAAAGGAGAAGGAAGGGAAAAAGAAGAAGGAAGGAGAAUAAGAGAAGAAUAAGAGAAAAUGGGAGAAUUGGCCUCCACUCUAGAAUACGAGGGCAGAGCUUAAAAGAGGGAGUAGAUGAGGGGCAAAGAAGAAGAGAAGAAGAAUAAUGAAAGAAGAAAGAAAGGAGACAAAGAAAGAUGAGGGGCUGGAUUAGAUUGACUUACAGUCGAAGCAUGCAAGCACUGUGUGUUUGUACACUUUAAGUGUGAUAGGUGUACACUAUCUUUCAGCUUGAGCUUAUGGAAUUAUUGGUUGGCGCUUUCGAUUCACAGAGAGGUUCAAGGGUGAUAAUAGAUAUAGGGGGGUGAGCAUAAAUAUAAAACUGUUCAAAAUAUCCGAUAUUCCAUACCCAAUCCGGACCCUACCCAGGCCUAUAAAAUAUAGAAAGUUGGGUUAAAAAAAAAAAAUACCCGUUAACGUUUCAGGUACGGAUUCGGAUACUUCAUAUCCAUACUUGACUUGGACCCAAUCUGUACCCGACCGAACCCGACCUUUUAAUAGGUAGGAUUCGAAAUAUUUUUUAAAUCAGGACCCGGACCUACUUGAAUAUCUGAUAGUAAAUAAAAAAGAUUUUAAGUUGAGGGACCGAUUUCAAUAGGACUUAUAGAUGAGGAAUCUUUGGGCGUGUUUGGUUCGCUUAUUUUUCACCCUGGAAUCGGAAUGGGAAUGGACGAAUCCGUUUGUGGGUGUUUGGUAUGCGGGGGUCCCAUUCCGAUUCCAAUUCCCGAGUGGAAUGGGAAUCCCCAAAUCACCCCUUUUUUCAAUCCGGCCUCCUAGGCCGGAUUGGAAGUUAAAUCCGGACGGAAUGAAUAUUUAUUCGAAUUAAAUUUAUUUUUUCAACUUUUUUAAUUAAAAUAUGAGUUAAAAUUUAAAAAAUAAAUAUAUAAUUUUAAAUUUUAAUUUGAACUUAAAUUAAAAAUUAAAAUUUAAUCAAGUAUUUUGAAUCUAACUUAUGAAUUUGAAUUUAAAUUAAAUUUUAAUUUAUAUAAAGUUUAUUCAAAUUUUAUUUCAAACUUAAAUUAAAUUUAUGAUUCAUAAUAAUAAUUUAAAUUGUAUUAUUUAAGUUGAAUUUGAAUAAAUCAAAAUUUAAUUUCAUACUUUGAAUAUCCCCACUCAACUUCAAAGUUUUAAUUUUUUUAAAAAAAUAGAUUAAAAUUUUGACAUUAUUUUCAAAAUUUUGAUGUAAAAUUAAUAUUUAAUUUGAAUUUAAAUUAAUAUAUUAUAAAGAUAAUGUUAGUAUAUUAAUUUGAUUAUGUUUUUUAUAUCCACCUGAACCAAACACCGACAAUGGAAAUGAUUUAUUACGAUUUCGAUUCAGGUGAUGAACCAAACCGAAUUAGGUAAUGAGUCAUUCCGAUUACGAUUCCAGCUUAUUUUGAUUCCGAUUCCGAUUCCGACUCCGACUUCGAACUAAACACACCCUUUAUAUAUUUUCAUUCUAGUGAAACCCUGACUGCUCUGUUUACUCCUUCAUUAUUAUUAUUAUUAUUAUUAUUAUUAUUAUUACUUUGUUUUACUUUUUAUUUUUUUAACCUUAGCUGCUCUGUUUACUACUUGAAUCUUCCUCUCUAAACAAGGAUCUUUAUUUAUUGUUGAAGUUAAAGAAAGGAGUAAAAAAAAUUAAAAAAAUAAAAAAUCAAACUCUAGCUGCUCUAUUUCCUUCUACGAUUUCUCUGACCAUCUUCGAUCCUACCUUCUCCUCACCUAAGCAGCUUGUCUCCGACGUCUCAUCUUACUAAUUGAUCUCUUUCUAAUCUGACAAGUAGCCUGCCACCCCACCUCGUCAAGCAGCUCGUCUUCUCUUUUGUCGAUCAAGAAGCCAAAAGAUUUUUAAGCUGCACGCCUGUGCCUCUACAUAAUUCCAAUCAUGGGGACUGCAUAGUCACAUCAGGCAAUUGCCAUUAAAAAUCAUAAGAUUUAUCUUAGUAAAUCUCAAUAAAGGACUAAUAUAUGCAAAUAAGAACGCGCAUACGAUUUAGACCUGACCCGUAACCGAUCCGUACCCGGUCUUUAAGUAGGUAGGAUACGAGUAGUCACUUCCAGACCCGCUCAAAUAAACCUGAUGAGUAUAUUAGUAACUCAAGUACUCAGACCUGGACCCGAUCCGAAGAUAAAUAUAUAGGGUAUAUACUUUUUUUCCUACUAAUUUCUUUUUAAGAGGAGGGGUAUAAUAUAUCAACUAUAUAUCCAGACUCGAUGCGAUCCACAAAGGCAAGAGGGGAGAGAGGACGGUGCGCACGUAUCGCCGCCCCGUCGAUUGAACAAGGCGGUGACAUAUACUACAAAAAUUUAACAAUUUAGAAAACUUUCAAUUUCUAUUAACUAUGCUUAAAAGUGUUUCGAUAUAGUGUAGUGUCACAUUUGAAAGCAUUGGUUAAAGUAUCGGCAAAUGAAGAGUCACGACACAUAUACCAAGCGUCGGUAAAAUAUAUUCUGACACUUUAAAGUGUCAGGAUAUUUUAAAAUUCUGACGCUUUAAAGUAUCGAAAAAUUAAAAAGAAUAGUUAAGUUUAUGAUUUAAUAUAUUGGUUUGAUACAUAUAGGAUUCAUAUGUUGAUGCUUUCUGAAACAUCAGUAUUUGCUAUAUUGUAGGGACGCUUGCUGCAAGCAUCAUCUUAAAAACGUGCUUAUAUUGAGAUUUUCUUGUAGUGCAUGACGAGUGGGAGAGGACAAAAAAUGACUAGACAAAUCGAGCAGUAAAUUAUGAGCCACAAGUAGCUUUACUCUUUUAAACCCUAAAAAAAAUUUAGUUAAAAGUGAUGAGAAAAAUAAUGCAUAAAAGACCACAAUUUGGUAGGCUGGAGUUAUCUUUUUUAUUUUUCCUUUUAAUAAGUGUGGUAUACGAUUUAAUAAUAAAGCUAGAAAAAAAAAUGUCCAACGCUGCCAGAACUUAAGCACUUUUGUAAACAAGCGCUUGGACUUUAAAUUUCAACAAAUAGACUCCUUCAAAUUUAUCAAGUAGUUCAAUAGGUCCAUCUUCUCAAUCGAAAUUAUUAAUUGCUAAGCCAUUUUGGUUACUUGUAUUAAUUGCAUAUAAUCUUAGAGGGAGCAUUGAAUUCUCAAGGACCAAAUUUAUUUUUUUAUUCUAACAUAUUUGAAAAUAGUAAUAAAUAUUAAAUAUGGAUUCGCUUUAUUCUUCAAUUAUAACGCUUUUAUCGUUAUUAUAAUAAAAAGAUAGAUUUUUUUUUGUCAUGCUAAAUUUAUUUGAGGAGUGCAAGACAAUAUGAGCAAAAUGGCUGUUCAAGCAGUAACUUUAUUUGAGGAGAGGGAUUCAUUAAAUUAUUUAAUAAAGUUAAGAGGGUUAAUAUAUAGUUGUCAACAAGUUUAAACCUAAAGAACCUGUAGGCAAAAAUGGCAAAGUUUUGAGGGGUCUUUCUACCAUUUUCCAUGAUGGUCCACAAACUAACUUGAUGGACCAAGUCCACGGAAUAAUUUUGGCUUUCCUUUCGGAGGCAAACGAAGCACGCGAGCACGCCUGGUGGGUCCCCCGUUGACACCACCGUCAGCGGUCGUGAUCAUGACGUCAUCAAAUCUCUUCCAUCGCUCACACGGUCUCACCAGGCUGGCAAAUGAGAGAGCCCUCUCACGUUGGGCGAGCGUUCGAAAUUAAAAUUUAUUUCAAGUCAAAUUUGAGUGUUACUGGGCUCACUCAAAUAGGACUCAAAGACACAGUAUUUGGAACAAAGGAGAAUAAGUUUUUGUUUUCUCUUUUGUUCUCGAACAUUACGUUUGGUAUCCGAAAAUAGUAGUUUUCAGAUUUUUGAAAUAAACUGGUAUAAGCCUGAGGCUACUGUUCCACCCUUUUUUUCUGUAAUAAGCUUGUUCCCAGAUAAGAACAAAAUUUAUUAAAGUCUAAAUUUAAUUUUAAUUAUGGUAUUAAAUUAUUAAUAAUCUAAUUAAUAUAUUUAAAUCAUUAUUUAUUACUUAAAUAAUAAAAUAAUUAAUUAAUUUAUUAUUUAUAAUUAAUUAUUAAUAAUUUAAUGUAUUUAUCCAUAAAUUAAAAUUUAUAUUGAUCAACCAUUAAUAUUUCUAUUAAUCUAAUUAAUUUUUUUACUAGUUAUCUAGCUAAAAUAAUUUACGUUAAAUUAUUUAUAUUUAAUUAAUUAAUUAAUAUAUUUUUAUUAUCUUAUACAAUAUUCAUAUCUAAUAAAUUUAUUAAUUUAUUAAAUUAUUUUUAAAUAAUAUUUUGAUGUUAAUUAAUUAGAUAAAAUAAUUUUAAUUUAAAAUUAUAACUCUUAUUUCCUUUGUUCCAAUCUAAUCAUCUAAACACUAUUUAGCUUAUUUCUAGGAAUAACUCAAUUUUCAUCCAAACACAAAAUUAGUCUAGUUUUUACUUAUAUCUGAACUUAUACAUAUUCCUAAGAUAAACAGUUUUUACUUAUAUCCGAACCAAAUGCAGCCAAAGAGCUCGAAUAUAAUAAUAUAUAUUAUGUAUUUCAAUUAUAUUUAUAGAGUUUUGGUUACUGGGUGUAUUUGCUUGCCCACAAAACCAAACCAACAAAACCCUAAUUUAAUUCUCUCUCUCUCCCUCUCUUUCACUUGCUCACAUAAUUGCUUCCCUUAAAUUAUUUUUCUUAAUAUUAUAAUAUCGCAUUCAUGCAUUUAUUUUGUAUGUUGAACUAUUAGAUAUAUUUUUAUAUUAAAUUUAAAUAAUAUUUUUUAAAAAUCAAGCUAUAAAUUGCAUGAUGUUAAAAAUUUCAAACCGCUCAUCUAAGGCUCAAGUUCGAUUGACUCGAAAUUAGACUCGCUCUAGCUCAACUCAAAUUAAUUUCAAGCCGAGUUUGAGCCAAAAUUUAGGUUCAAAAUUAAUUCAAGCCAAUCUUUAGCUGAACUAAGUUCGCUCAAGCUUGGCUCGUUAAUUUCCAACACUAUGCCUGGCUCCGCAUGAAAUUGACAUAGCAAUAUAUUUUUUGGACGCUCCUCCACUGAGGAACUGUAUACUUAUAUGUAAUUACAAUUUUACUGUAGUUAUAAUUAUAUAUAAAUCUUAAUUUAAUAUUUAAGUAAAUAUAUUUAAAAUUAACUGCUAUAGUCAAAAUUGUAUUAAUAUAUUCAAUUACAAUAUAGAGUUGAGACUAUAUUCAAGUUGACCGUAAUUUCAACUGCAGUAGUUGAAAAAGAUAAUUAUAAAAAAUAGCUAAUCUUACCAUACAAAUAACUUUUUAAAUAUAAAAUAUUAUUCUUUUAAUCUUACAAUUACAUAUAUAAAGUGAUAAAAUUUUGGUGGUAAUCUCAUUAUUAUACAUAUAAUAAAGUAAAAAAAUUUUGAAAUAUACUUCUCCACAGUAUCCAACCAAAUAAAUCGAAAAAAAAAUUUAAUCGAAAAAAAACAGUAUCCAACCAAAUAAAUUAUUUGUAAUUGCAACACUUUUUACUACAAUCAACCAAACAAAAUGCAUAUUAUUAUAACUGUUAUAUUUUCAACUAUAUAUAUAAAUCUCCAACUACAUUAUAUUUUUAAUUUCAUUCAACCAAACUGCCCCUAAAGGUCAGAAUCCUUACACUUCACUUAUAUAUAGGCCACCACUUUCCCACUGGUCUUAUUAAUUUUUUGAGUAAAUUUUAACUUAUCUCAUUAUGGUUUAGUGUAGUUUUACUUUGCCAAUAUAUAGUUCAAAAGUUUUUUUUUUUUUUUUAAGAGAACGGUAGUAUGCUACCCACUUUGUUUAUUCUUUCUAGAAAUAAACUUAGCUGGAAAUGUGAAUCAACUAGAAUUAGUUUGAUCUUGGAACCUCGGGUACCAAUCAUCAAACCCUUUGCCACUUACACUAGGAAUGGUCAGUUAUAUAAUUUAAAAGUUAUACUUGACUAUUCUUAAUGUGUUCGGAAGCACCAAGGGUCAAAAUUUUAGAUUCAAGUCGAUGAAAGGGUCAAAAAGUUGAAGCACCAAUGGCUCGUGUUCGGCCGCAGCUUGUGACGAGAUUGCAAUGCCCAACUCGAGAUCGGCUCGUAAUAUUAUAUUCGGGCUACCUUAUAUUUGGUUUAUUAAAGAAUCGCGCCGACCACAAGCUAUAGCUAGUUCUGGUUCACUCGUGUUCAACUUAUUGGCAGCUCUACCUACACGGUAAGAAACUUUACCAUGAUCCGUUUGCAUUGUACAACUAUGUUUUCUACUUCGUUGACUUUUCACCUCAUGUUUUUCGUUGACUUUUCACCUUAUUUACUUGGCUGCUAAGUAUGCCAAUAGUUAUUAGCUAGAUUGAUUCAGUUAAAGCCUACGAAUCUUAAAUUCAGCUACCAACCUAAUUAAUUCUUCAUAAUAAAGAAUUCAUAGCUGUCUUAUAUAGAGAAAGUAAGUACUCCUAGCGUACCACAUCAUUGGCAUGCAAAUGUAGAGUUCAAUGUUGAAGACUACUAUAAUUAGUCUCAUAACUGUGCAGAAUAGUGCUUGUCGACAAAUAUUUUACAGAUGAAAAUUUUUGACUUUUUUCAUUUAGGACAUGGAAAGGGGCUUCUGAACUCAAAAAACUACUAGAAAAAAAUAUGUUUAAGAAGUUUGAUAAAAACGACAUGUUAGUAUUGUUGGUAUAUAAGUUAUCCAGUACUGUCCUACAUAUGUAAUGGAGUCUGCGUUGCGCCAAGCCAUAAUCGAGAUCUAUGGACAUCUGUGUCUGUAUAUUUUAAAUGAAUUACUUAUAUCUCAAGCUUUUGGAAUAUUAGUUAAUGCCAACAACCCACCACUAGCACUCAGGAAAAGUAUUCUGAUCAUAUAUCUAAGGGCCGUAAUCUUCAAUGGUAAAAUUUAAAGGAAAAAAAAGAGGUUCUCUUCUAGUUACUUAAAUAUAUACCAUUUAAUAAAUGCACCUGUGCAAUAAGAUCACUAAGUUGUGCAUAAAGUAAUUAAGCUUAAUAAUUCAACAAUGCAAAUGAAACAUGAGGAUCGAUAUCCACAUUUAGACAUACUUUGGGUGGCACAGCGGCCCAGCUAGUUGAGUGGUUAUUCCAAAUCAGCCCUUUGUUUUGUUAAAAUCACUAGUUGAGAAGCUGUUGAACUACUUAAGGUUUGUUCAUAAUUAUUUGGAGGCAAACAUAUAUAUAAGAGAGAAAAAGAAAAUACGCUUGAAUAAAGUAUGAUGAAUUAGGUUUCUUGACGAGAAAAAAGUACUCUAGGGGCCUAAGAAAAUAAUAUUGAAAUAUCAAAAAGCAUUACUAGUGGUUACAGAAUCUGGAAAGCAAUGAAGCAAGCCUUUUCUCUUUUUAUUAUCUUAAGAUGCUAAGAGAAAAGUUUCUAGGGUGUAUCUUAUUGAAAUAAAAGGAUAAGCAUGCAUGUACUAGCAUUCCUAUAAACUUAGGAUAAGUGUAUGUCUGUAUUCCCACACAGCUAUGAAUUUGAUUGUCAAAGAUUGAGAACUACUUAACAGCUUUUUGUUAAAAUGACCUUCUUCAGUUGCAGCUAUUAAAAAAAAGAAUUCCAUACCGAUAACAUAAACCACAAAUGAUCAGUCAUUAGUUAUAUAUUUGCCACUUACAUACAAAUCACAUCAACAUCAUAGUGUGCUAUUUCUUGGUCUCAAAAAAUUUGAAUUAAAGCUCUAUAGCUGUUAAGCAAUUAAUAAAAUAAAUCUUCUCAUUCUUAGAGAGAAUUAUAACCAGCAACUUUCGAUAUACCUAGCUCUUAAGUAAAAUGAUCCUUGAAAAUUGUAAAAGGAAGACUGGGCUUUGGUUAUCAACCGCAUAGAAGCGAAAAUCAACGGAUGGAAAGCCAAACUCCUCUCACAAGGGGGAAGACUGACCCUUGUCAACUCGGUCCUGACCAGUCUGCCACUUUUCUACCUCUCCAUCUUCAAAGCGCGCUAAUGGGUUCUGCAUCGUAUUGAAGCCCUGAGAAGAGCCUUCUUCUGGAAAGGAUGCUCCAAAGUUUUUGGAGGAGCGUGCCUAGUCAGCUAGAAAACCGUAUGCAAAAGCAAGGAAGAAGGCGGGUUGGGAAUCAAAAACAUGGAGUCCAUGAAUCUGGCUCUCUUAACCAAAUGGUGGUGGCGAUUUUUUAAUGAGCCACACCUACUUUGGUACAAGCUGAUAAGAUCUCUCUAUCACACCAGACGCUGGCCGUUGCAUGAGGGCACAACCUUCAUACCGUACUCUCAGUGGUGGAAAGCGUGCUCCGGUGCCCAGAAAUAUGAACUUGGAGACGGUAACAACAUCAGGAUAUGGCCAGACAUCUGGAUCGGAGAAACCCCCCUGCGCACCAUGUUCCCAGACAUUUAUGCCAAUAUAAGGAAUAAGGAGGUCAGAGUCUCACAAUGUUGGAACUCUAACGGAUGGAGAUGGUGCUUCAUCUAUAGAGGGUUUGUGGCGUAUCAAUCCAUCAACAACGUUAGACAAUAUGCACUAUUCAAAGACCUACUCCUUCAUUAUAGCCCCAGGACCAGCCUGGACCUACUCAAAUGGCGGUGGACCCCCAACCAUCUGUUCGCGGUCAAAUCCCUCUACAGGUUCAUCGACAACGUAGGACUAAGGGACACGGAGAACCAACAUAUUUGGAAUUUAAAAAUCCCGGUUAAAAUCAAAGUCUUCAUCUGGGUGUUAAUCCGUAAGAAACUACUCACUGCUGACAGACUGCUCACCCGUGGGAUGCCGGUCGAUGAUCACUGUGUAUUCUGUGUGUUUGCUACGGAGAGCUGCGACCAUCUAUUCAACAACUGUGUCUUCGCUCGCUUCCUACUCAUCUGGGCGAAUGUACCCGUUGGGGAUUCGAGCGGUGUUCGGGCCCUCUGGAAUAAUAUAUCUGCUAUCACCGACUCAGCGAAAAGAUCGGAAGCUCAAACCUCUCUGGCGGCAAUUUGGUGGGUUGUGUGGACGGAAAGAAACAACUUUAUUUUCCGCUCGAAAAUCCCCAACGCCAUCCGAGCUCUUGAGUGCACCAAACUCCUGACAAAAUCCUAGAUCGAACUACCCUAUCCGCACCGGCAACUCCUCCACCUUCUAUUAAUUUUCUCGCUAUAUUACCAUGUCCUUUAUUUCACUCCCUUCCCUCAACUCCCUUCUAUUAUGUUUUUUCUGUUUGGCUCACUUCGGAGGCCCUAGCUGCUUCCACACUGUACGCUUAGUUUAUUUAGCUUAAUGAAUAUUGAAGCAGGUAGCUUGGCUACCUCUUUCUCAAAAACAAAAAAAAAGAGAGAAAGAGAAAGAAAAUUGUAAAUAUACUACAUCUAUAUAUCAUAAAUGCUAGUUCCGAUCGAAGUACAUGCUUCAUCUAUGUCCCAGCUUUUCUCGCGAUCAAGAUAAUUAUGACAAGCUUGCUGUUCACGGUAACUUUUUUUUAAUUGUAAUAUAUAUAUAUAUAUAUAUAUUUGUUGUAAUCCCGUCGUACUAUAUUUGCUUGAUAUACUUUAAUUAUUUGAAAGAUGAAAUGAAUCAGAUUAUUGCCCAUGAAUCUAUUUGUAGUAAUAGUUUUUUGAUCUGUUAAUUUGAAAUUUACUUGUCAACGGCUUCAAAAACCAAAUGCUUUUUUCAGUUUCAAUUUUCUCCUCUCAACCUUCCUACUGAAACUGUAAAAAAAAAAAAUGGUACAACUUUUUCUCAGUGGACAUAUAGUUCUUAAGACUAGUUAAUUCAUUCUCAAAAACUGUAUUCAUUGGAUUGUGACAUUCUAAAUAAGACACCUCUUUAAAUUCUUUGUUGUAUAAAUUUUGAUAAAGUUAAAUUUCUUUAUUUUUUAAUUUUUUACUGCAUUUAUACCAUCAAAAUAUAUUAGUAUUUAAUUACAGUAAACACUUUAUCUGUAGAAUAGAAUAACACCAAUAUUUUAAAAAAAAAAUGUCCAAUUUUGCUUGUACGACUCUUUCGUCGGCUGGCUAGUGGCUUUUCACACAAAAAAAGGCAGCAUUUUGAUUUUAAAAAAACAAGCCAUCGAGUGUUAUGAUCAUAGUAUCUGGUUAUCCCAAAUUAUACCCGCUUUUUUAAUAUUUUAAUGCACAUUAGCCUUUAGACCAUAUAAUCAAAUUAAUGAGAGGGUUUAACCAUGCACCUAUUGUUGAAUUAAGGAUUUAGAUAAUUAGAUAUGGUCAAAUUUUAAAAAACCUUCAAAAAUGAUGGCCAAAUGAAAAUUCAAGGGUACAACAAUUUUCCUAGAAAUUAACUCAUAUUUUUAGUGAAUGUGUAUAACUUCCAAAUCGAACUGUACAAAUUAACAGAGUUGGUGGCUGCUUAAUUUAUGUAAUCCUAAAUAUGGAGAACUCUCAACUGCUUAUGUCAACCGAUCGAUCAACUUGUUGGUAACUGUAGUUUUGCAGCAGUUUGUAAAUCCAAAUCUAAAUUUAACUUGUUAAUUAGCUAGCCCAAUCUAAUAAUUAACUUAAUUUUUUCUUUAUUCUCUAGCAGUCACCCUUCUUAAAACAUACCUUAUAUUAACGGAUUAUGGCCAUUAAAACAAAUUACACUAUUUGUUUUCAUCACUUUAAAAGUAGUCAAAACAGAUUAUGCUUUUUUUUUUUUUUUUUUUUUUUUUUUUAAAGAAUAACUAUAUGUCACGCCCCGGCCUUUUUGGAAAGUUAAUUUUUGAGAAAUUUAUCCAGUUUGAAAUCAGAGUUGUAAAAAAGCGUAUAAAAUUUUUUUUUUUAUAAAAAACUUGCCCGAGAGGUGCACAGAACCCCCCUACGUGCAGGGCAUUCUCUGUUCAUACGGACAAAGUUUUUCCUAUACAUGUACGGCAUAGAAGCAUAGAUACAGAACCACAAUCAAUCAAAACAAGAUAAUUUAAUUAUACAACUACGUACUAAUCAAUCUAAUACCAAAAUUCAAAAACGACUAAACCACUACAUAGGAAAACCCAAAAGCAACUAAACUCCAAACACAAAUGAUAUCACAUAACUACAACCAGAUCAUAAGGUACUGAAGUAAGGAAAAUCUAAAACUAUAAAUUAAGAUUCAUGGCACGAGCUCUCUAGGCGCUAACUAACCGUGUCCUUCCACCACACCCCGAUCCGCGCAUCAACAACACCUGUAAAAACAAUGAGGUGAGAAACAUAUAAAUAUAUUUUCCGGUGGGGGCAACCAGCCAACGAGGGCAAGCUGCACUCAUUGGCAAACAAAGGAGUACGGUAAACAAGUAAGAGCGAAAAUGUAAUAGUCAACUACAAUAGCAUCACAGAUAGAUAGAUAACUGUCAUGAUCUAGAAUACAAAAUAAUGCCGCUACCGUACUAGGAAUAGAAAUACUAACCACAAAGUGUCGACCAUAGUAGCAAAGAAAACCAGCGAAUAGUCAUCAUGAACAAUCAUAUAAGAGAUACCGCUACUGUAAACUAGUCAUAUGCUAACAUAAAGGAGCACCAACUACAAUAGCAAGAUGAAAAAUACAAAACAUCAUAACCCACUCACAAUGGAUGCCGCUAUUGUAGGCUAAACAACUACUAGAUACCAUGCAUGACUCAAAUCGAAAUACUAUGCAUCACCUGGACGUGUGAGAAGUCCAAGAUAUACGCAAUCGCUGUGGCCGCUCAUAAAGACCCAGCCUAAGCUCGCCACUAGUCUCAAGGACCAUAAAUCAAGUACCACUCCGGAGGGACACAUCAACCCGCAUCCAAAGUCGCUAAUUUUGUCUAAGCGCGAUGUAUAUCAAGUCUAGGGGGUGAGAACUCAAGGUGGCGAACCCUGUCUAUGAAACAUCACCUCUAAAUGGGCUGGCAACUGAAGUACCCUGGGUUAGGAACCCUGUCUAAGACUCCUUCAGUGCCAUACAAGCUAUAGUCAUAUGUAUAUACUCAAAGCUCCAAUAACCUAGACUCAACAGUCAAAUCACUGCCCGUAGGCGACAGCAAGAGUCAAGAGGUAAUCACACUGGAUGCCAAUGGAAAUACCAAGAUCGAAACUCCCCGGGUCGACUAACAUGCUACACUAAAUGAGUAUGCAAGAAAGAUAAAGAUAAUGCAAGUGACAGAGGUGAACAUGCUAAAGAUCCAAUCAUGACAGAAUACGUCAUCUGACCCUUAAGUCAAAAUCUGAGGAAGUAUACACCGAUCGACUAGGUCAAUCUCAUGGAGUAACUCGCUGACAAUAAGGUCAAGUCUCACCGAAAAUAAGUCAACUGAUGAUCAUAUCUCAACAAGAAGUACACAUCGAUAUACCAGAUCCAAUCGUACACAGGUGGAUAUUCUAUCAAAUCAUUACCUACUCUACAUGUCACACACGAGAUAGAAGAGAGUGCAAUCAAGAGUCUACGAAUCCAUACGAUAAUCAACGUAACAAUCAACAGGCAUGUAGAGUAAAAAGCAUGUAUAGACGUGAAGUCAGGGAAAGUUGUCCUACUCAAACAACAUAUAGAAUAGAUCAAGCAGAAAGAAAAAUCGGGUAAAAUACAACUUUACCGACUUCGGAAUAGAGCACCCACCUCACCUAAUAUCCGAGUCCUCGACUCGAACGAUGGUUCCAGAAGUAACCUAUACCUAACAAAUACCAACAAGCCAUCAUUAAACAUCUAAUAUUACCAAACAUCGUUGUCCAAUGUUCUUUAUGCAGUGAAAGAAAACAUCAAAAAGCCCUAUGAUGUCCUACGAAAUCGGUUUCCUAUAAAAGCCGAUCUCCGUAACUCGCCGGAAGCCUGGAAAUCACACCGGGACCAACAAACUGUCCCAAAAAGCACCAAUUCGCCACGAGUCACCCAUUGGCUCAAAACACAUCAUUCAGGGUGUCCUGGCAGCAAACACCAUUUCUCAUGUCGAGACGAUUAUCGUCGAGUAAUCGCUCCGAUCCGGGUUCCCAAAUGCAUCCAAUUUGACAUCGGAACCUUCUACCGCUCACCCUUCAUCUCUAGACACACAAGAGGACCAUGGCGGCCAGUCAAUGACGCUAGGUGAUGAUUUUCGAGGCAACCACGCAGCCAAAAAUUCAUCUCAAUGCGAAAUCGUGUUCCACCGACGAUUUCGCCGAAAAAUGCACCGAAAAUCUAUUUUUGAUCCCAUGAAGGCUUCAAAACCUGGACAACAAGUCCAGAAGGUCACAAUCAGUGACCACACGCUGCCCGAGGCAACCCACAUUGCCUUAAUUACAAGAUGGCCCCUAAGAGACCGGAUAAUUGCAACAUUAAGUACAAUGAGGCAAUGUUCAGGGCCGUUAUCAAAAUCUGCGCACCUCCGGGAUGAAGCGAGGGCAUCAGCUGAUAGGUCUCGAUGUGCUAGACAUCAUACUCGCUAUCUGGAGCAUGCACAACAACUGAAGAGCGCUAUGGAGCUUUUCCAAGUUUGGCAACCAAAUGGCUCCGGGAGUCAUGGGCCAAAAAUCAACGAAGAAAGGUCAUCGGAGGUGGGCACAACGUUCAGCAGAUUGAGGGGAUCGCCGUGCUCACCUUCAAGUUAGUCGAGGAGCUUCGGAUCGCCAGAAGCUGCGAACGGGGCAAAACCCUGCCAUAUGCUGUUAAACAUGGGGCAUAGGGGCUCCGACCGACUGUCGAUGGCCUGCAGGCGGGUGCAACGGCUGGGGUUGGCCGCGAAGGGAGAGGGAAACCCUGUGCUCCCCUCGGCCGGCGGCAAGAAGCGACUGUGGUAGCGACAACGACGACGCUUGGGGAGUUGCCUACUCACAUAAAUAUUUCUCGGGUUCAGGUAGCUAGCCGAGCAAAGAGGAGACCAGGGGCAACGACGACCGACCGAUAGGGGGUCUUUGGAUCGUACUGAGGCCAGCGGCGGCGGCGGGGAGCAAUGGUGUGCCGGAUCCGGAGCCACAACCCGAAACCUCCACAAUUGGGUCCAAGCCUUCGAAACCUCCACAAUUGGGUCCAAACCUUGGAUCUUGGUAAAUGGAGGCCUCGGCGGUGCCCGGGCCAUUGGAGGGUGGUCGCUGGACCUCCCAGAGAUCGGCAGCGAGGCUCCGGGGCAGCGCGGCCAAGUGCUAAGAUGGCUCGGGCCCGAUUGCAGCUUAGAGAGAGAAAGAGAGAGAGAGAGAGAGAGGGGACCUCGCCGGCCGGAGCUUCGCCGACGCCAGUGAAGUACAGAGGGUGGCAGUGAUUGUGAGCAGGGAGAGGGAGAGGAGAUUAGGGUUAAUAUAAUAUAUGUAUAUAUUAUUAUGGGGCAAUUGCUUAUAUACCCCUAAAAAGUUUCCGACUUUCUGAUUUACCCCUCUUAGAAGGCUAAUAUUGAAAAUACCCUUUUUACAUUCCAACCUAUGUCAAAUAUACCCUUCCUCCGUUUGGUUCGGGGCUAAGGAAAAAGUAGCUAUUCCAGGGAUAGAGUUAAGUUCAGGGUUAAAGUGGGGUUAAAUUUUUUUUGUGUUUGGUUGGGGGUUGGAGUUAGUCUAGAAUAAUAAAAAAUAGUGUUUGGUUGGAGUAGGUGGGAUAAGAAGAUAAUAAUUGAUAAAGAGGAUAAUGAUUGGUUGGAGUAGGUGUGAUAAGAAAGAUAGUAGGUUAUUAUGAAUAGAAAAAAGUGUUUGGUUGGAGUUUGGUGGGGUUAGGUGGGGUUAGCUAACCCGGGAUAAUUUAUUUGAGGUGGGGUUAAGUGGGGUUAGCUAACCCCACCUAUUUUUUGGGGUUUUUGGGGAUAAAAUGGGGGUUAAGGGGUUAUUCCACCUCUUAACCCCCAACCAAACAAGGGCUUAGAGUUAAAUUUUGUUAAUAAACUCUGUUAUCUAUAUAAAAUUACUAUUUUGCUCUUUCAAAUAUACCCUUCCACCAUCACCGACUUUUCUUAUUUGCCCUUAAGUCAGGGGCAUAAAAAGUAUUUUAACUUUUGAUCUUUUCAAAUAUUCCCCUCUACUGUCACCAAUAUUUCUUAUUUGCCCUUAAGUUAAGGGCAAAAUUAGCAUUUUAAUUUUCUUUAACUGUGGUAGAUAUUUAGCUCACGUUUAACUCAAGUUAACUUAACAGGUGAUAACUGUAGGGGUAUUUUGGAAUAACAGAGGAACACAUGAGGGGUAUAUUGGAAAGAGAAAAAAAAGUAGGGGUAAUUGAGAUAUUUUCAAAGUUUUGAGGGGUAUAUAGACAAUUAUCCCUAUUAUUAUAUAUACAUACAUGUACAUAUAUAUAUAUAUAUGUGUAUAUAUAUAUAUAUGUGUAUAUAUAUAUAUAUGUGUAUAUAUAUAUAUGUGUAUAUAUAUAUAUGUGUAUAUAUAUAUAUAUAUAUAUAUGUAUANNNNNNNNNNNNNNNNNNNNNNNNNNNNNNNNNNNNNNNNNNNNNNNNNNNNNNNNNNNNNNNNNNNNNNNNNNNNNNNNNNNNNNNNNNNNNNNNNNNNNNNNNNNNNNNNNNNNNNNNNNNNNNNNNNNNNNNNNNNNNNNNNNNNNNNNNNNNNNNNNNNNNNNNNNNNNNNNNNNNNNNNNNNNNNNNNNNNNNNNNNNNNNNNNNNNNNNNNNNNNNNNNNNNNNNNNNNNNNNNNNNNNNNNNNNNNNNNNNNNNNNNNNNNNNNNNNNNNNNNNNNNNNNNNNNNNNNNNNNNNNNNNNNNNNNNNNNNNNNNNNNNNNNNNNNNNNNNNNNNNNNNNNNNNNNNNNNNNNNNNNNNNNNNNNNNNNNNNNNNNNNNNNNNNNNNNNNNNNNNNNNNNNNNNNNNNNNNNNNNNNNNNNNNNNNNNNNNNNNNNNNNNNNNNNNNNNNNNNAUGUAUAUACAUAUAUCUCUCCUAAUUGCACAAUUGCAAUAGGACUGACUCCUCUACAAACAUCUAUGGGUGAAUUUUGGGUUUUAAAUUGUGAAUAUGAGGGACUAAAUUGUAAUUUUUAUAAUUUGUGAAAAAGGGUACUGUGUGCGAUGGUGUUAUUAUUUCAUGUGAGAAAUUUUAGAAUUUUUAGGAGUGGAAGGACUCAUGUGAAACUAGACUCAGAGUAGAACAUGUGGGUUAAAUCUCAUGAAAUUCUGAGAAUUCUAUGAAUCACAACACCAAUUUGAGUUUAGAGAGAGGAAAUCGAUCAGGGGAUACCAAACAAGGCCAACUUUAAUUUAUCUUGUCUAAUAGUAUUAAAUGACCCUUAAUACCAAACAAGCCCAAAGUUACAAAAAGAGUAAAAUACUUGAUUGUUAUAUAUAUACUAAUUAACAUUUAGUAAACUGUAGGCUAAUAACUGUGAGCUUGGUUUGAAAGUGUACGAACUAAUUUAGUAUCUAACCAACAUUAAUUUAAGGAUUUAAUAUGUAAUUAAUUCCAGAAAAGAACAACAAACUUACCCCUUCACUUUCUUAAUUACUUUUUCUCACUCAUACUCUUAAAAGAACAAAAAGAAGGAUUGCACAAUCAGAAAGAUAAGCAAAGCCAAGGACCCAUGAAAGGAGCUGACCAAUCUACUUUGGGGUGUAUGAAAGUAAAGAUAGAAUACUCCAUCAUAUCCCUUUGUACUCAAGCAAUUAAGUUUUAAUGCAUAAAUUCAAAAAAAGUUUAAAAACCCAAAACCCAAUAAUUCGAUAAAAGAAAAGAAAAGAAAAGAAAAGAAAAAAUAUCCUUUAAUAAACCAGAAAAGUUAAAAUUACUCCAUCCACCUCUUCACUUUUCCUAAGGUCAGAUGCUCAGCAAGUCUAACCUGUUUUCUAUUAUACCAAACCGCCACACACCACCUCCCAAGGGUGGGUUUCAUAUAUAUUCGUCUUCUUCUUCUUUCCCAAUCCUUGCUCUUUUUCCAUCACACCAAAUUCCCCCACACAAGAGAACAACAAGCCAAGAGAAGAGAAGAUUCUAAACAGGAGAAGAGAGAAGUAGAUUUUUACUACCACAGGAGAGAGAGAGAGAGAGAGAGAGAGAGAGAGAGAGAGAGAGAGAGAGAGGAUUAUGGCUGAUGAUCUCCAUACAGCAGGGAUAUGCAGUGGAAGAGGGAGCUGGUGGAUGAACUCAGCGAGGAGCAGCGCCGGACUCGAUGGUCAGAUUGCGAUCUCCUCGACGUCGAUAGCCGACAUCGAUGCAAGAGGGUCGACCUUCAGUUGGUCGGCGGGCGAGAGCAAGUCGCGGUCCUGCGAAGAGUCCACUGGCUCGGCCUCUGCCGGAAGCUCAAUAACCUUCCAAGACACCCACUUAAAUCCCUCCAUGAACUGGAAUGAAACCCUACUGUAAGUGAUCUUCUUUCUUUGUAUAUAUGCGUUUAGAGAGAUAUAUACAUAUACAUAUAUAUAGAGAGAGAGAUAUAUAGGGUUUUUCUUUUUUUUUCCUUUGAGAAAAUUAUCUAUAUAUUUUGAUUGAUGGGUUCGGCAGAUUCCUACUUCACCUUUACUGAAAAUAACAGGUAAGGUGUAUGCGAAAUUUAACAAAAAGAUUUAAGUGUAAGAUUCAAUUUUGUAGAAUUGCACUUGCCAAAUCUACAUGAUAUGUUGCAUGCUUAACAUAUAUAUAUGAACUCUUAUUUCCGUGAAUUUUAUAUAUGAUGGAGAAGCAGCGGCGGAAAAGCUGAUACAAGAAUUCAAGCCAUGCACCAAGAUGAUCUAAGCAAAAGGCCCUAUUGGCAUGACGGACUGUUGAUAGACUCGUAUCGAGCUCACGUUGGUGUCGAAGAAUCCUCCACAAAUUUAUUCAAGGAGAUUAACCAUGGAAAAAAUUUCCUCCUGGACAAACAUCUGUUGAAUUCAAGUAACGAAGCUUCCGCUUCCUUUGGAAGCCCUUCUAGAUUGCUCCAAACCUUUAUCACUAGCGAGGCGAAUCCUCCACUUUCGAUUUAUGGAAACCCAUAUCUACAUCAUCAGAGUUCGACGGCUACGGCUUCUCAUGAGAGCUUAAGUGAGCUUUUGCAGCCCUCAUGGACAAAAUUCUCUCAGUUGGUUAAGCCUUCACCAUUAAAGAAUCAGUUGCAGUUCUCCAAUAGCACUCCCUUUUGGAACCCUUCUUCUACUGCUAUGAAUGAAGUGAGUUCAGGGUUUUACCCCUCCGUGCCUUCGCAGUUCAUCUCACAGCAGAAACCAAGUUACAGCAAUCUCAUAGUGAAGGAGAAAUCUUUGGUACCGUAUUCUUUCUUUUUUUUUUUCAUGAUUUUUAGGGUUUUACUUGUGUUCAACUCAAUUUAGUGAUGCAACUCAGCAACUCACAAUCAUGUAUGUAGUUAAAUUCGGAACAAGUUCAAGACUCAUGCUCAUCUGCAAAAAAGAAAAGCAGCAGUGGUGAUGAUCAUCAACCCACGUUUAAAAAGCCUCGAAUCGAGACCCCGUCGCCAUUACCGACCUUUAAAGUACGACACUAUCUGCUUGAGAUCUUUAUAAUCUAUAGCAGUUUGAUAUCUCACUUUCUUCUUUGCUUCUUUCUGUUUAAGCUUUCAUGAUAGCUUUUUUGAGCUCAUUGUUUGGAUAUGUAGGUGAGGAAAGAGAAAUUAGGGGACAGAAUCACUGCGCUCCAACAGCUGGUUUCUCCUUUUGGAAAGGUAUCUCAUAUAUCCUUUAAAUGAUCACUCUCACUCUCUCUCUCUCUCUCUCUCUCUCUCUCUCUCUCUCUCUAUAUAUAUAUAUAUAUAAGAGAUAAUUUGUUGGCUUAUGUUCUAGAUCCUUUUGUGUUUGCAAUUAAAUGUUUAUUAAGCUUCCAAUAUGUAUAGAACUGAAUCUUUCCUUCCAACUUUAUUAUUUCAGACUGAUACAGCAUCAGUUCUUCAUGAAGCCUUUGAGUAUAUUAAGUUCCUUCAUGAACAAGUGAGUGUAAGUAUCUCUACUAGUUUUAUAUAUAUAUAUAUAUAUAUAUAUAUAGAAAAAAUAGCCAAUAUCGAAUUGUAUUUAAUAAUAUCUGUUUCUUAACUGCAGGUUUUGAGCACACCAUAUAUGAAAAAUGAGGAUCUCACGCAGCACCAGCAGGUACAAAGCUCUUCAACCUGCACUCACUUAACUACUUACUAAUAUAAAUGUUAGUUUCAUACACAAUGAAGAACUUGGCUAUAAAAGUUAAUGUUUUAGGGUUUGGAGAGGUUGAACGAUGGCGAGGGACCGAAACAAGACCUUAGAAGCCGAGGUUUGUGUUUGGUUCCGAUUACGAGCACUUAUCCGGUCGCUACCGAGACUGUCGCAGAAUUCUGGCACCCUACCUUUGGAGGAAGCUUCAGGUAGUGGGGUAAGGGCUCUGAGGAAAAAGAUUGGAUUACAACUUUUUUAUUAUAAAGAAGCAAAAUUCAAUGGUUGUUGUUAAAGAAGUGGGAGAUCAAUCAAGAGUGACAGAAAAUGCAUAUAUUGUUUGUAAAAUUAUAGUUAUUUGCAGGGAGAAAAGCAAAACCCUAACAUAGGAAAGAUAAGGAAAUGAGGUGGCCCUUCAAAGACAGGAAUUGUUGGGACAGCUAUAUACAAGGAGAAUGUUGUGAGGUAGGUCAUGGUGUAUAGAGCUUUAGAAAGAAUGUUCAAUAUAUAAUUAAUGUUGUUGUAUUUUAUUGAUUAAGAGGUGGGUCAAAGAAUUAAUGGGAACAGUUGCUGAAUUUGGUAAAGCAAAUAGUAGGGAUUAGCUCUAAAUAUAUUUAUAAAUGUCAGAUAUAUAGAGGUCUAGACAUAGCAAUGAUAUGAUAUUUCAAACUAUGCUAGAAAAAUUUUACAACCAAAUUCAAUGAUCUUUUUGAAUUUUCGGACCUAAUUUAGAUGUAAACAAAGUGUAGUAGUAAAACUAAUACAAAUAUUUAAGUAUGGAAGAAAUAAUUAAAAAAAUAGGACAAAUUAUUAGAGAUUAGUUUUGGAGGUGGGGGCUAGAGUUAGCAGCUAAAUUUAGCAGGAGAGAAAUGAUCAUCUGUCUUUUGUUGGAUGUGUGUACUUUAGUUUAAUUAAGGGGCUUUUUUUGCAAAUAGCCCCCUUACAAAUUUUUUUUUUAAAAUUGGCCCUGUCAAAAAUUUAUUUGCAAAAAUGGCCCUGGCUCCGCCACGCAAGCGCCACGUCAGCGCCACGCGGGCGGGGCUGGGCCAGAUGGUUAAGUUGAACAUGGUGAACCAUUCACCGUGUUCAAUACAAAGUUUUUGUAUUGGACACGGUUAAUAAUUCACCGUGUCCAAUACAAAAUAGCAAGACCGAAAUAUUUGUAUUGGACACGGUGAACCAUUCACCGUGUCCAAUACAAAUAAUUGGACACGGUGAAUGGUUCACCGUGUCUAAUACAAAUACCUCCAACUUAGCCAUUGUUGGGGUAUUUGUAUUGGACACGGUGAACCAUUCACCGUGUCGAAUACAAAAAUCUUGUAUUGAACACGGUGAAUGGUUCACUGUGUUCAACUUAAACAUCUGGGCCCGCCCUGCCCGCGUGGCGCUGACGUGGCACUGACGUGGCAGGGGCAGGGCCAUUUUUACAAAUAAUUUUUGGACGAGACUAUUUUUACAAAUAAAAUUUGUCAGGGGGCUAUUUGCAAAAAAAAGCCUUUAAUUAAGGGCCGGCACCUUUUCUUUUUCUUUUUCUUCUCCCAAAAAAAAAAUAAUAAGGAAUAAUUGGACUUGGACAUUUUUGGUUUGGAGUAUCUUACUUUUUGAUUUAUUUAAUGUUUUCAUAUGAUGAUAGUGGAAGUCAGAGGUGACCAACUUUAAAGGCGCUCCCCCUUUCUCUCUCUUCAAGUAGCACAUUAAUUGGUUUCUUUUUAAGUUGUGUUUCAAAUAAACUUCAAACAAUUAAUUCCGAAGUAUAUUAAAGAGUUGAAUGAAAAAGAAGUGUCAAUCCCCAAAAUCAUGAUUGCAGGACAUCAAUUAACAUUUAUUUGUUCCCCACUUUUGUUUAUGUUUGUUGCAGAAAUUCCUAUAAUCUAGAUUUAGGUGUAGGGACCUCUGGAAUAAUUAGGAAAGAAAUUAUUGCAAUAAUUAGUUAAAUAGGGUAACAUUACAAUAGAAUUAGGUUAUAGGGACACAUGUAGGGAUGUAAAACGGGCCGGGCGGCCCACGUGCCGCCCGGCCCGGCACGGCCUCGGGCCGGGCCACAGCACGGCACGGGUACUGUAGCANCCGAUGUGGCCCGAAAAAUGUGGGCCGUGCCAGCCCGGCACGGCCCACAUUACACCCCUAGACACAUGUUUGGGACACUUUUAAGUAAGUGUCCCAUUUAUGCUAAAACUUAAAAAAAUAUCUACUAAUGCCUAAAUAUAAAGCCCAAUUCAACCAAAAUAAAAGAUUACUCUACUCAACCCACCACACCCAGUCCAUUUGGCCCGAUUACAAAUAGAAAAGAAAAAAAAAAAAGAAAAAUCAAUUACCAUCUUUUCUUCUCUCUUCACUCAAUCCACUGAAAUUCUAGACGAAGAGCCUUUCCUGUCGUCCUCCUCCGCCACCGCAGCCAACGAGAUAGAGUUUCGACGGUUGCUAAAUGCUUAAAUAAGUGUUGGUAAUUAGCAGCACUCUUUUAGAUUAUAGCGACACUCUUUAACUGUCACUAUAUACCUAGCGACCCCACAUAUAGCAACACUUUUUAAAAGUGUUAGUAAUUUUAGCUAGCAGCACUUUUUUGACAUGUACCUACAUUUAAAAGUGUCGCUAUAGAUCGUUUUUGUUGUAGUGUAAAUUGCAAUAGUCAACAAACUUUCGGCCAAUUUUCAUUUCCAUUUCCAAAAUUUUAAUUUCGACAUUUAAAUCUCUAAACAUUUAAUAAAGAUAUUUUAUUUUACUUUCUAAACUUACUAAUGUUUUAUUUUAAUCCUUAUCU